CUCCACCUCCUUCAACCUCAAACCCCUCGUCACUCCCCCCGCACCAUCCUCCUCCCCCUUCGUCACCCGCUCCGCCGCAGCCUCGCCGCAAGAGAGAAAGACCUUCCACGGCCUCUGCUACGUCGUCGGCGACAACAUCGACACCGACCAGAUCAUCCCGGCUGAGUUUCUCACCCUCGUCCCCUCCAACCCCGAGGAGUACCAAAAGCUCGGCUCCCACGCCUUAGUCGGCCUCCCGGCUUCAUACAAAGACCGGUUCGUGGAGCCGGGGGAGACGAAGACGAAGUACUCGAUCAUCAUCGGCGGGGAGAACUUCGGGUGCGGGUCGUCGAGGGAGCACGCGCCGGUGUGCUUGGGAGCGGCGGGGGCGAAGGCGGUGGUGGCGCAGUCGUACGCGAGGAUCUUUUUCAGGAACUCGGUGGCGACCGGGGAGAUUUAUCCGCUGGACUCGGAGGUUAGGGUGUGUGAUGAGUGUAGUACGGGGGAUGUCGCGACGGUGGAGCUGAGGGAAGGGGAUAGUGUUUUGAUUAAUCAUACGACGGGGAAGGAGUAUAAGCUUAAGGCUAUUGGUGACGCUGGGCCUGUGAUUGAUGCUGGUGGUAUCUUUGCGUAUGCGAGGAAGGCUGGGAUGAUUCCUUCUGCAGCUGCUUGAUUUGAUUUCUCCGACAGGUAUGAGUGUUAGAACCAAACUGCUUCAUCAUGUAAUAAAUGGUGUGUGAGUGAUAAAGAUUGUUUUAUUUUUAAAGGAUGAUAGUGACAAGUUCUAGACUUGAUAGUACUAUUAAGAUGUUCAAUUAGAUUGCGAAAAAAUUGAAACUUUUGGCGUUUAGUUGUCUUUGAGGAUCUAUUGGACUUGCGUAGUUUUGUCUUUGGCUGAUCCUUUUCAUGUUUUUAACAUCCAUUAAGACCUGAGUGUCCAAUAGUAGAACAACACUAUUCUUCUUUCUUUCUUUCUUUUUUUUUUUACUUUUAAGACACUUCUCUAUUGUUAUGCAGGGACCGGACCAUGCAUGUCGAUGAGAGUUGAUCUUAAGGUUAAGUAAUUCUCAGCUUCCCCUCUUCCAUUCCAAUAAAGAGAACAAUAAGUAUGUCUGUUUCAAGAAUUUGUGAACCUAAUCUUAUGCUUUAUGGAUGUAUAUGACUAUCGGUUUACUCUUCUGUUUCAGUUUACAUAUUAGUAUCUAUUACAUUUGGAUGUUACAAAAUACUCCAUAGCAACCUAGUAUAAGCUAUGAGUUUUCUCUAUCUAAAUCUAAUAUAUUAUCAGAAGGUUAUACUAGAUCUAAUAUAACACUUUUGGUCUAUAAAAUAUGUGUAACAAUAACGGAACCAAAGAUUAUAGAUCUGUAAACCUUUGGGAAAAUAAAAUAAAAAAACAACACCUUUUGUUUCACGGCGACCUACUCACGUGUCUCAAAGCGCACGUUUAGAAUUCCCAAAUGGCACAUCCGUAAAUACAAGGAUACAAACAUGUUUGCUUUUAUAAGCUCUGUGUUCUCUUCUAAUUGUCACUCACUUAGACAACGAGUUCGAUCAUAGAUCCAAACACAAACAAAUGGCGUCUACUCUUCCUACACUUCCCCGAGCCUUACCUUCCUCCUCAAGCAAGCCUUCUUCUCCCUUAGUUCCAUUCAGAUCUUCUUCCCUCAAAUUCACCACUCCCACUCCCUUCAUCCCAUCUUCCAUCUCCCUCUCUUCACGCGCCGCAUCCUUCGUCAUCCCACGUGCAACUCCCGCCUCCCAUGGAUCUGGCUCUACCGAAACUCUAGCCAAAACCACCUUCCACGGCCUCUGCUUCGUCUUGAAAGACAACAUAGACACCGACCAGAUCAUCCCAGCUGACAAAGCCACCAUCUUCCCUUCCAACCAGCAAGAACGCGACGAGAUCGCUUCCUACGCUCUCUCCGGUCUACCAGACUCCCACACAACCCGGUUCGUCGUGCCGGGAGAGAUCAAGUCUAAGUACUCAAUCAUCAUCGCCGGUGAGAACUUUGGUUGCGGGUCUUCACGUGAACACGCUCCCGUUUGUUUAGGAGCAGCUGGAGCUAAAGCCGUUGUUGCUCAGACUUACGCAAGGAUCUUUUUCCGUAACUCGGUGGCUACUGGAGAGGUGUUUCCGCUCGAGUCAGAGGUUAGAGUCUGCGACGAGUGUACGACGGGAGACACGGUGACGAUCGAGCUGAGAGAUAGUGGUGGUUUGUUGACUAAUCACACGACUGGUAAGCAGUAUAAGCUGAAGGCGAUUGGUGAUGCUGGACCGGUUAUUGAUGCGGGUGGUAUCUUUGCUUAUGCGAGGAAGGUGGGAAUGAUCCCAUCUCCAUCAGUAGCUUAACUCUCUUCACAUGUGUGUUAGAGUUCUAUAUUCUCUUUCACUUUGCUGUUGUUGUUUUAUGUAAUGAAUAAGAAAACAUGUUCCAAGAAAAUGAUCUACAAACAAUGUGUUUCAUUUGAUCACAUAUUAGUUACCAAUAUGCGAAUAUGGGGUUAUUUGUUUUUAAAAUGAUAUAUGAUAGUUAUCCUUGUGUUUGUAUAAUCUUAUUUUAGCUUGAUAUAUGAAUGUGGCUGAAUCAGCAAAGUUUUAUUAUUUUUUUGAAGAUUGCUAUUUUUACAAAAUCAUUAUGACACUUAUAUAGUGGAUGAUAAGUUGUAUAUGCUAAACUCUCUUUCAUAGCAAAUGAACAUCGUUCAAUUGUUUUUAUAAAUUAAUUUAGUAAAAUGGAAUAACCAUUAUAAAAUCGCUAUUCUUUAAAGAAAUGAAGACAAAAAAUGUUUAAAACCUCUUUGACCGUCAUCAUAUAUUAGUAAAGGAUACAACUAUGCAUUAAAAUAUUAUUGUCGUAUUUUUUGAAAUUUUCUCAAAAUCUAUGUGUUCCUCUACGAAAAUAUUGAAUUUUUGGUAAAAAAGUUCAUAUACCGAAGCCUAUAAUCUUUAGUGUUGUUUUAAAAUUUCUAAAAAUAUUCUACAUUUUUAUUAAUGUAUUCUACACUCUCUUUCAUGGUAAAUGAUGAUCGUUCAAUUGUUCUUAUAAAUUAAUUUAUUAACAUUUCAUAUACUCCCUAAAUUAGUGGAUUAACCAUAAUAAAAUCGUUAUUUUCUAGAGAAAAUGGGAUAAAAAAUGUUUCAAACCUCUUUGACCAUCAUCAUAUAUUAGUACAUGAUUCAAUUAUGCAUUAAAAUACUAUUUUCAUAUUUUUAAAAAAUUUCUCAAAAUCUAUGUGUUAACCCCCCCAACGAAAAUAUUGAGUUUUUAGUAAAAAAAUUAUAUACUGAAGCCUAUAAUCUUUAAUUUUGUUUUCAAAUUUCUAACCGCAUUCUACAUUUGUCUUAAUGUAUUUUCAUUUAUUUUUCAUGGCAUAUGAGAAUCGUUAUAAAUUUUUUAUCAAUUAAUUUAGUAAAACUUCAUAUACUCCCUAAAUCGAUGGAAUAGCCACUAUAAAAUCAUUAUUUUCUUAAACAAAUCGAUACAACAAAGGUUCCAAACCUCUUUGACCAUCAUCAUAUAUUAGUACAUGAUGCAAUUAUGCAUUAAAACAAUAUUGUCGUAUUUAUUGAAAUUUUCUCAAAAUCUAUGUGUACCCCUACGAAAAUAUUGAGUUUUUGGUAAAUACUUUAUAUACUGAAACCUAUAAUCUUUUGUGUUGUUUAAAAUUUCUAACUAUAUUCUAAAUUUGUAUUAAUGUAUGCUAAACACUCUUUCAUGGUAAAUGCGCGUCGUUCAAUUGUUUUUAUAAAUUAAUUUAGUAAAACUUCAUAAUACUCCCUAAAUCGAUGAAAUAACCACUCUAAAAAAUCUUUAGUUUUGUUAAAAAAUUAGAUACUGAAGCCUAUAAUCUUUAGUUUUGUUUUCAGAUUUCUAACCGCAUUUUACAUUUGUAUUAAUGUAUUUUCAUUUUUUUUUCAUGGUAUAUGAGAAUCGUUAUAACUUUUUUAUCAAUUAAUUUAGUAAAACUUCAUAUACUCUCUAAAUUAGUAGACUAACCAUUAUAAAAUCGUUAUUCUCUAGAGAAAUGGAGACAAAAAAUGUUCCAAACCUCUUUGACCAUCAUCAUAUAUUAAUACAUGAUGCAAUUAUGCAUUAAAACAAUAUUUUCGUAUUUUUUGAAAUUUUCUCAAAAUCUAUGUGCUAACCCCUACGAAAAUAUUGAGUUUUUGGUAAAUAUUUUGUAUACUGAAGCCUAUAAUCUUUAGUAUUGUUUUAAAAUUUCUAACCAUAUUCUACAUUUUUAUUAAUGUAUGCUAAACACUCUUUCAUGGUAAAUGGACAUCGUUCAGUUGUUUUUAUAAAUUAAUUUAGUAAAACUUCAUAAUACUCCCUAAAUCGAUGGAAUAACCACUAUAAAAUCACUAUUUUCUUGAAAAACGGAAACAAAAAAUGUUCCAAACCUCAUUGACCAUCAUCAUAUAUUCGUAAAGGAUACAAUUAUGCAUUAAAACAUUAUUGUCACAUUUUUUGAAAUUUUCUCAAAAGCUAUGUGUUAAUAACCCCUACGAAAAUAUUGAGUUUUUAGUAAAUAAUUUAUAUAGUCAGUAUAUAAUUCAUAAUACUCCCUAAAUCGAUGGAAUAACCACUAUAAAAUCACUAUUUUCUUGAAAAACGGAGACAAAAAAUGUUUCAAACCUCAUUGACCAUCAUCAUAUAUUCGUAAAGGAUGCAAUUAUGCAUUAAAACAUUAUUGUCACAUUUUUUGAAAUUUUCUCAAAAUCUAUGUGUUAACCCCUACGAAAAAUGUUCCAAACCUCAUUGACCAUCAUCAUAUAUUCGUAAAGGAUGCAAUUAUGCAUUAAAACAUUAUUGUCACAUUUUUUGAAAUUUUCUCAAAAUCUAUGUGUUAACCCCUACGAAAAUAUUGAGUUUUUAGUAAAGCAUUUAUAUACUGAAGCCUAAAAUCUUUAGUGUUUUUUAAGUUCUAACCAUAUUCUACAUUUUUAUUAAUGCAUUUUAAACUCCCUUUCAUAGUAAAUGAGCAUCGUUCAAUUGUUUUUAUAAAUUAAUUUAGUAAAACUUCAUAUACUCCCUAAAUCGAUGGAAUAACCACUAUAAAAUCAUUUUUUUCUUAAACAAAUCUAGACAACAAUGGUUCCAAAUCUCUUUGACCAUCAUCGUAUAUUAGUACAUGAUGCAAUUAUGCUUUAAAAAAAUAUUGUCGUAUUUAUUGAAAUUUUCUCAAAAUCUAUAUGUUAAUCCCUACAAAAAUAUUGAGUUUUUGGUAAAUACUUUAUAUACUGAAGCCUAUAAUCUUUUGUGUUGUUUAAAUUUUUUAACCAUAUUAUAAAUUUGUAUUAAUUUAUUCUAAACUCUUUUUCAUGGUAAAUGAGCAUUGUUAAAUUGUUUUUAUAAAUUAAUUUAGUAAAACUUCAUAAUACUCCCUAAAUCGAUGAAAUAACCACUAUAAAAUCACUAUUUUUUUGAAAAACGGUGACAAAAAAUGUUCCAAACCUCAUUGACCAUCAUCAUAUAUUAGUAAAGUAUACAACUAUGCAUUAAAACAUUAUUGUCACAUUUUUGGAAAUUUUCUCAAAAUCUAUGUGUUAACUUCUACGAAAAUAUUGAGUUUUUGGUAAAUACUUUAUAUAUUGAAGCCUAAAAUCUUUAGUGUCGUUUUAAAAUUUCUAACAAUAUUCUACAUUUUUAUUAAUGUAUGAUAAGCUCUUUUUCUUGGUAAAUGAACAUCGUUUAAUUGUUUUUAUAAAUUAAUUUAGUAAAACUUCAACUACUCCCUAAAUUAGUGGAGUAACCGUUAUAAAAUCGCUAUUCUCUAGAGAAAAUGAGACAAAAUGUUCCAAACCUCUUCGACCAUCAUCAUUUAUUAGAAAAAGAUGUAAUUAUGCAUUAAAAUAAUAUUUUCAUAUUUUUUGGAAUUUUCUCAAAAUUUUUGUGAUAACCCUACGAAAAUAUUGAGUUUUUGGUAAAUAUUUUAUAUACUGAAGCCAAAAAUCUUUAGUGUUGUUUUAAAAUUUCAAACCAAAUUCUACAUUUUUAUUAAUCUAUGCUAAGCUCUUUUUCUUGGUAAAUGAACAUCGUUCAAUUGUUUUUAUAAAUUAAUUAAGUAAAACUUCAAAUACUCCCUAAAUUAGUGGACUAACCGUUAUAAAAUCGAUAUUCUCUAGAGAAAUGGAGACAAAAAUGUUCCAAACUUAUUUGACCAUCAUCAUAUAUUUGUACAUGAUGAAAUUAUGCAUUAAAACAAUAUUGUCGUAUUUUUUGAAAUUUUUUCAAAAUCUAUGUGUUAACCCUUAUGAAAAUAUUGAAUUUUGGUAAAUAUUUUAUAUACUGAAGCCUAUAAUCUUUAAUGUUGUUUUAAAAUUUCUAACCAUAUUCUACAUUUUUAUUAAUUUAUGCUAAGCUCUUUUCUUGGAAAAUGAACAUCGUUCACUUGUUUUUAUAAAUUGAUUUCAUAAAAUUUUAUAUACUCCCUAAAUUAAUGGACUAACCAUUAUAAAAUCGAUAUUAUCUAGAGAAAUGGAGACAAAAAAAUGUUCCAAACCUCUUGUACCAUAAUUAUAUAUUAGUACAUGAUGCAAUUAUGCAUUAAAACAAUAUUGUCGUAUUUAUUGAAAUUUUCUCAAAAUCUAUAUGCUAACCCCUACAAAAAUAUUGAGUUUUUGAUAAAUAGUUUAUAUACUGAAACCUAAAAUCUUUAGUGUUGUUUUAAAAUUUCUAACCAUAUUCUGCAUUUUUAUUAAUGUAUAUUAAACUCUUUUUCAUGGUAAACGAGCAUCGUUCAAUUAUUUUUAUAAAUUAAUUUAGUAAAAUGUCAUAUAUACUCCAUAAAUUAGUAGACUAACCAUAAUGAAAUCGCUAUUCUCUAGAGAAAAUUAGACAAAAAAAUGUUUCAAACCUCUUUGACCAUCAUCAUAUAUUAUUACAUGAUGCAAUUAUGCAUUAAUUAAUAUUUUCGUAUUUUUUAAAAAAAUUCUCAAAAUCUAUGUGUUAAACUACUUUAUAUACCGAAGCCUAUAAUCUUUAGUUUUGUUUUAAAAUUUCUAACAGCAUUCUACAUUUGUAUUAAUUUAUUUUAAGCUUGUUUUCAUGGUAUGAGAAUCGUUAUAAUUUUUUUAUCAAUUAAUUUAAUAAAACUUCAUAAUUCUCCCUAAAUCGAUAGAAUAACCACUAUAAAAUCACUAUUUUAUUGAAAAACGGAGACAAUAAAGGCUUAAAACCUCUUUGAACAUCAACAUAUGUUAGUGCAAGAUGCAACUAUGCAUUAAAACAAUAUUCUAGUAUUUUUAAAAUUUUCCCAAAACUUCUGUUAACCUCUACGAAAAUAUUGAGUUUUUGGUAAAUAUUUUAUAUACUGAGGCCUAUAAUAUUUAGUGUUGUUUUAAAUUUUUAACCAUAUUCUAAAUUUUUAUUAAUGUAUGCUAAACUCUCUUUCAUGGUAAAUGAGCAUCGUUCAAUUGUUUUUAUAAAUUAAUUUAGUAAAACUUCAUAAUACUCCCUAAAUCGAUGGAAUAGCCACUAUAAAAUCACUGUUUUCUUGAAAAACCGAGACAAAGAGGUUCCAAACCUCUUUGAACAUCAUCAUAUGUUAGUGCAUGAUGUAACUAUGCAUUAAAACAAUAUUGUCGUAUUUUUUGAAAUUUUUUCAAAAUCUAUGUGUUAACGAAUAUAUUGAGUUUUUAGUAAAUACUUUAUAUACGGAAGCCUAAAAUCUUUAGUGUUGUUUUAAAAUUUCUAACCAUAUUCUACAUUUUUAUUAAUAUGUGCUAAGCUCUUUUUCAAGGUAAAUGAAAAUCUUUCAAUUGUUUUUAUAAAUUAGUUUAGUAAAACUUCGUAAUACUCUCUAAAUCAAUGCAAUAACCACUAUAAAAUCACUAUUUUCUUGAAAAAUAGAGACAACAAAGGUUUCAAACCUCUUUUAACAUCAUCAUAUAUUAGUGCAGGAUGUAAACAUGUUUUAAAACAAUAUUGUCGUAUGUUUUGAAAUUUUCUCAAAAUCUAUGUGUUAACCCCUACAAAAAUAUUGAGUUUUUGGUAAAUACUUUAUAUAUUGAAGUCUAUAAUCUUUUGUGUUUUUAAAAUUUCUAACCGUAUUCAACAUUUGUAUUAAUGUAUAUGCUAAACAUUUUUUCAUGGUAAAUGAGCAUCGUUCAAUUGUUUUUAUGAAUUAAUUUAAUAAAACUUUAUAUACUCCCUAAAUUAGUGGACUAACCAUUAUAAAAUCGCUAUUAUCUAGAGAAAUUGAGACAAAAAAAUUUCCAAACCUCAUUGACGAUAAUCAUAUAUUAGUAAAUAAUGCAACUACGCAUUAAAACAUUAUUGUCGCCUUUUUUGAAAUUUUUCUCAAAAUCUAUGUGUUUCCCUACAAAAAUAUUGAGUUUUUGGUAAAUACUUUAUAUACUGAAGCCUAUAAUCUUUAGUGUUGUUUUAAAAUUUCUAACCAUAUUCUAAAUUUUUAUUAAUGUAUGCUAAACUCUCUUUCAUGGUAAAUGAUCAUCGUUCAAUUGUUUUUAUAAAUUAAUUUAGUAAAACUUCAUAAUACUUCCUAAAUCGAUGGAAUAACCACUAUAAAAUUAUUAUUUUCUUGAAAAACCGAGACAGCAAAGGUUUCAAACCUCUUUGACAAUCAUCAUAUAUUAGUACAUGAUGCAAUUAUGCAUUAAAACAACAUUGUCGUACUUUUUGAAAUUUUCUCAAAAUCUAAGUGCUAACCCCUGCGAAAAUAUUGAGUUUUUGGUAAAUAAUUUAUAUAUUGAAGCUAAAAUUUUUUAGUGUUGUUUUAAAUUUAAUAACCAUAUUCUACAUUUUUAUUAAUGUAUGCUAAGCUCUUUUUCUUGGUAAAUGAACAUUGUUCAAUUGUCUUUAUAAAUUAAUUUAGUAAAACUUCAUAUACUUCCUAAAUUUGUGGACUAACAAUUGUAAAAUCACUAUUCUCUAGAAAAAUAUAUAAAAAUGUUCCAAACUCUUCGACCAUCAUCAUAUCUAAGUACAAGAUGCAAUUAUGCAUUAAAACGAUAUUGUCGCAUUUUUAAAAAAUUUUCUCAAAAUCUAUGUGUUAACCCCCAUACGAAAAUAUUGAGUUUUUGGUAAAUACUUUAUAUACUGAAGCCUAUAAUCUUUAGGGGUUUUUGCCAAAACUAACCCACAACUUGAUUUUAAUUCCAAACCUAUACCCAAACUUGAAUCAAAUGCAAAACUAACCUAAAAGCCUAGUGAAAUUACAGCUCAGCCCCUUGUGACCAAACAAAAAAACAGAAGCCAUUUUUACGAAUAUAGCCCCAGUAAAUCGUCUGAGUCGUCUGAGAUGUUGGAAGUCGUCUGGACGACUGAAGUGUAAGUCGUCUGGACGACUGAAGUGUAAGUCGUCUGGUACCAUUUUAUUUUAAAAAUAAUUUAUAAAUCUUGUAAAAAAAUAUUUUGAUGCGUAAAAAAUAAAAAUCAAGUAAUUAUAAACAGUUUUAACUGAUAUAAAUUAAGAUAUGAUAAAAUUGAUUUGUUUUGAAGAUAUAUGAGUGGAAGUAGUGAAUCAUGAAAUACUUUGGUUUAGGAGUUUGGCAAACAUAUGUUGUAGUAUUGUAUGUAUUGUUAGGGUUAGAUUUUGGAAAACUAAAAUGUUUUUUUCAAAAAUUAGUUUUCACCUAUAUGUGUUUAUUUCUGUGUAUAGUAAACACUUUUCAAGUUUGAUUUGGUUUUAUGAAGUGUUUAAUUAGAUAAUUAAGUUUAGGGGUUAUGUUUAGGGUGUGGACGACUUAUAUUUCAGUCGUCUGUUAAAUAAUUUACCCGGACGACGUAUAUUUCAGUCGUCCAGACGACUUACUUGUAAGUCGUCUCGAAAGUCUUCUAUUUUAGUUUCCCGCUAAAAAUAUUUAAUUUCCCGCUAAAAAUAAACUCUUAUGGACGACUUACAUGUAAGUCGUCUGUUUUAAUUUCUUCACCAGACGACUGAAAUGUAAGUCGUCCAGGAAGUCGUCUGAGUCAAAAAUAUUUAAUCUAAUUGGAUUUUUUGUCUCCCUAUAUAAAGAAAAAUUUACACAUUCUCUCUCCUCCUCUCAAAUGGCUGCAACAAAAAUGUAAUGUUCAUCAUUCUAAAACUCUCCAACCUCUCUCUAAUCUCUUUGACUUGAAAACACCAAACUUUAUAUGAAUUUUUCAGUUUUGUCUCAUGUAUUUCUUACUAAUCUAUCUCUUUUGCAGGUUUUUAAUCAAAUGGUACUCAUCUUCCACUAAUUUAGAGGUAGAUCUAUUAAUUUUAGAUAUGUAUUUUUGUGUGUUCUAUAAAUGUAGAUUUAUCUAAUCUUCCACUCAUUUUCUCUAUUUUUAAGUCAUUUGAACGUUUUUGAAUAUGCAGGUUUUUCAGAUCUGGAUUUGAUGUGCAGGUUUUUCAGAUCUGGAAGACUUCUGGGACGACUUACCUGUUAGUCGUCUGGAAGUCGUCUGGAAGUCAUCUGGAAGUCUUCUGACAAAGUCGUCUGGACUUCCAGGAAGUCGUCUGGACUUCCUGGAAGUCGUCUGGACUUCCAGGAAGUCGUCUGGACUUCCAGGAAGUCGUCUGGACUUCCAGGAAGUCGUCUGGACUUCCAGGAAGUCGUCUGGACUUCUAGGAAGUCGUCUGGAUUUUUCUGAGCGUUUUGGUAAGUUCUUAUGUCUGAUUUUUCUUCAUUUGGUAACUUCUUGUUGUAUAAAGUUCUUACUUUUUUCCCAAACUAAAACUCUCCAAACCCACUCUAAUCUCUUUGACUUGAAAACACCAAACUUUAUAUGAAUUUUUCAAUUUUGUCUCAUGUCUUUGUUACUAAUCUAUUUUUUUUUUGCAGGUUUUUAAUUAUUUGGUACUCAUCUUCCACUAAUUUAAAGGUAGAUCUAUUAUUUUUAGAUAUGUAUUUUUGUGUGUUCUGUAAAGGUAGAUUUAUAUAAUCUUCCACUCAUUUUUUUCUGUUUUUAAGCCAUUUGAACGUUUUUGAAUAUGCAGGUUUUUCAGAUCUGGAUUUAAUAUGCAGGUUUUUCAGAUCUGGAAAACUUCUGGGACGACUUACUUGUUAGUCGUCUGGAAGUCAUCUGGAAGUCGUCUGGAAGUCGUCUGGACUUCCUAAAAGUCGUCUGGACUUCCUGUAAAGUCGUCUGGACUUCCUGUAAAGUCGUCUGGAAGUCGUCUGAACUUCCUAAAAGUCUUCUGGCAAAGUCUUCUGAACUUCCUGGAAGUCGUCUGGACUUCUUAGAAGUCGUCUGAACUUCUUAAAAGUUGUCUGGUCUUGUCUACUCAAGUGGAAUCCAAGCUUGUCUUUGUAGAUGAAUGAUCUAUAAUAGUUUUGUUUGUGAUCUGUUUUAUGAAUUGCAUGUAUACUCUUUUAGUUGUGAAUUUUUUGUAAAAUCAGUAAUAAUGUUUUCCAAGAUGUAUUAAAUGUGCUAACAAUGUGUUUACACAUUUACAAAUCAAUGAAAUAAUAGACUUCAGUAGCCUUUUUCUUAUCUUUGGAUCUCUCAUAUGCAAUAAUAAACUCCAAUGGCCUUUUUCUCAUCUUAAUAAACAAGAAUGUUGGUAAGAGAUGGAAACAAACAAUAGUAACUAGUCAAAGCAUAUCAUAUUUUUUAUAAGUUUGCAUUGAAAAACUUAGUCAAAUUUAGUAAAACUAAGGGACAGAACAUAUUUUGUAAAUAUGAGUUUUACAUAUCUUGAAGUUACUUAUCACUCUUAAAAAUACAAGUUAUUCAAAAACUAACGUAGAAGACUUAAAAACUAGUGGAGAAGACGCGGACGACUUCAAUCUAAGUUGUCUAGACGACUAAACUAUAUGUCGUCUGGUCAACGCAGAGGUUAUUUUUGCAAUUGACUUUGAAAUCUGUUAUUUCGGACGACUGAAAGUUAAGUCGUCUACUAUUGUUUGGUUAAAAAAAAAACUCCAAAAAAGCUAGACGACUUACAUUUCAGUCGUCAGAGGUUAGUUUUGCAUUUGACUGGAUUAUUUCAGAAGUUUGACUUUUUGGACGACUUACGUUUCAGUCGUCUAGUGAAAAUUAAAAUAAUAAUAUUUUUUUAAAAGUAGACGACUUAAAGUUAAGUCGUCAUAGGUUAGUUUUGCAAUUGAAAAAAAAAACUUCAAGAUUUAAUUAUAUACAGACGACUUAUAAUUCAGUCGUCCACGAGACGACUGAAAUGUAAGUCGUCCAGGAUUUACGAGGUUUGACCAGAAUCUCGGAAAAAAAUCCUGGACGACUUACAAUUAAGUCGUCUGGUGGACGACUGAAUUAUAAGUCGUCUGUGUAUAAUUAAAUCUUGAAGUUUUUUUUUCAAUUGCAAAACUAACCUAUGACUACUUAAUUGUAAGUCGUUUACUUUAAAAAAAUAUUAUUAUUUUAAUUUUCGCCAGACGACUGAAAUGUAAGUCGUCUGGGGAAGUCAAACUUCUGAAAUUAUCCAGUCAAAUACAAAACUAACCUAUGACGACUGAAAUGUAAGUCGUCUAGGUUCUUUGGAAUUUUUUUUUUAACCAAACAAUAGUAGACGACUUAACUUUCAGUCGUCUCAGGUUACAGAUUUCAAAGUCAAUUGCAAAAAUAACCUCUGCGUUGACCAGACGACUUCCAGGUAAGUCGUCUACAGCCAGACGACUGAAAGGUAAGUCGUCUACAGCCAGACGACUUCCCAAGUAAGUCGUCUGACGAACAGAUCUGGAAAAAAACUCGAUGUCAUACCUUAAAUUAGUGAGAUAAGUUCCUUAGCAUACAUAAGGCUUCUCCAAGCACACAGAAUCACAAACGGAAGUCACCCACCCAUAAUCGUUAGCUUCUAUGACUCUAUGAACCAUGAAAAUUUUAGAAUCAAAAUCUUGAGUUUUUUUAGCUCAUUGUGGAGAGAAAGUGAGAGAUAUGUUGUGUUUAGGUCACAAGAAUGGAAAAAGAAGAAGGGUACAUCGAUUUUAGGAGCAUUAAGAGCUUCAAAUUGGUUGUUCAUGGUGGUUGUGGUAUUGAUGACAAUGGCAAUCUUGUAAUUACUUGAAGAUGAUGAGGGUGAGAGAGUAAAAAUGUCAUUUUCGAAAAAAAAAAAAAAAAAUGGAUGGCAUUUUCGUAAAUUAUAUGAACUUGUGGGGUGAAUAGGGCAAAACUAAUUUUCAGAAAAAAAAGGAGGUUAGUUUUGUGUUUGACUUUAAGUUAUAGGUCAAUUUUGCAAAAAUCCCUAAUCUUUAAUGUUGUUUUAAAAUUUCUAACCAUAUUAUACAUUUUUAUUAAUGUAUGCUAAACUCUUUUCAUGGUAAAUGAACAUCGUUCAAUUGUUUUUAUAAAUUAGUUUAGUAAAACUUCGUAAUAUUCCAUAAAUCGAUGCAAUAACCACUAUAAAAUCACUAUUUUCUUGAAAAACCGAGACAACAAAGGUUUCAAACAUCUUUGAACAUCAUCAUAUGUUAGUGCAGGAUGUAAACAUGCUAUAAAACAAUAUUGUCGUAUUUUUUGAAAUUUUCUCAAAAUCUAUGUGUAACCCUUACGAAAAUAUUAAGUUUUUAGUAAAUACUUUAUAUACUGAAACCUAAAAUCUUUAGUGUUGCUUUAAAAUUUUUAACAAUAUUCUACAUUUUUAUUAAUGUAUGCUAAGUUCUUUUUCAUGGUAAAUAAACAUCGUUCAAUUGUUUUUAUAAAUUAAUUUUGUAAAACUUCAUUUACUCCCUAAAUUAAUUGACUAACCAUUAUAAAACGCUAUUCUCUAGAGAAAUGGAGACAAACAAAUGUUUCAAACUUCUUUGACCAUCAUCAUAUAUUAGUACAAGAUGCAAUUAUGCAUUAGAACAAUAUUGUCGUAUUUUUUGAAAUUUUCUCAAAUCUAUGUGCUAAUCAUACGAGAAUAUUGAAUUUUGGUAGCCUAAAAUUUUUAGUGUAGUUUUAAAAUUUCUAACCAUAUUCUACAUUUUUAUUAAUGUAUGCUAAGCUAUUUUUCUUGGUAAAUGAACAUCGUUCAAUUGUUUUUAUAAAUAAAUUUAGUAAAACUUCAUAUAUUCCCUAAAUUAGUGGAGUAACCGUUAUAAAAUCACUAUUCUCUAGAGAAAUAGAGACAAAAAUGUUCCAAACCUUUUCGACCAUCAUCAUAUAUUAGUACAUGAUGAAAUUAUGCAUUAAAACAAUAUUGUCAUAUUUUUUGAAAUUUUCUUAAAAUCUAUGUGUUAACUCCUACGAAAAUAUUGAGUUUAAUGUAGUUUUUAUAUUUCUUAUAUUGUAUAUUUAUUUAUUAUUUUCUUUUUUCUUAUACGUAUAUUUACUUUUUAUUAUUUUUUGUUUUUGGUAACAAUAUCAUGUAUCAUCUUUCGGAAAAGAAGUAUUGCGCUAAUAUGGACGUUCCAUGGAGCCUUAAAUAGUUCAUUUUAUUAGUAUAGAUUUCUAAUGGGAACCGGUUAUUCUACUAAUUUGAAUAAUUUGGUUUGUUAUCGGUUAUCGAGUCUUGACCGGUUUAACAAAUAGGUAUUCAGACAAACCGUUAAGCGACCGGUUUCAAAAACAAGACAGAGAGCUAAACCUAAAGUUGAACUCUUUAUAACGCCGCUUCUCUUCUACACUGUCUGAAUGAAUACUCAAACAAACAUGGCAACCACAGAGGUAAAACCCUCCUCCUCUAAAAACCCUAAGAAAGCUCGGAAUCCAUCACUUGCUCCGAAGAAAGAUUUGAAGAAGAAUAAGAAGAAGACUAAAGCUCCCGCCUUUGAUGAAACCGUCGAAAGAAACGACGGCGAGGAACAACAACCAGCAUCUGGUUCUGAGCAGCUAAGCUUCUUCUUAAAGCAGCUCGAAUCCGCCGUUGGAGUUAGAGUCUCUGCUUUAGAGCUCGAUCCCAUUAAAGGUUUGUCCUUUUAUUGUUUUUUAUUAUGUCUCUAUACACACUGGUUAAGUAAAGGUUCUUAUUGAUUGCAGACAAGUGUGUGGUUGAGUUAUCUGAAAAGUUGGAUCAGAAUGUUAGCAACUUGGGAGAGCAUAUAAAGAUGUGUUGUGGGUCUUCGUGGAGAGAGACUCUUUGUGAAGGAGAGGUUGUUGAAGGGAAGGUCGAUCCGGGAAGCCCAGCUGUUCUCGUUGUUAGCUCCUCUGCUUUGAGAUCUUUGGAACUUAUAAGGUAUCGUUGUGAGUUUGUUUUCUUUGUAUAUAUGUUAUUGUUUGAUUGAAUACAAUGGUGCUUAGACUUGUUCUUUUUUUCUGAUAUGUGUGUAGGGGUUUGCAUUCACUUACUAAGCAAUGUCCAGCGUUGAAGCUCUUCUCAAAGCAUUUGAAGGUUGAGGAACAGGUACUGUUUUGUUCUUACAAUAAUUUGUCUUUAGAGAAAUGAAUUUAAUGCAAUUCAUAUAGAGAACGAAGGUUAAUAGAUCUCAGAUAGAACUGAACAGAUAGGUUUUACUAUAUAACUGAUGUUAGCCUCUUGUAUUGAUUAUCUCUUGUGGAUGAAUGUUUCUUGCUUUCUGUGAAACUUUGGGAAAUGAUGACAAAGAUACGAAAUCUCUAAGGCUUAAUGCUCUGCAGAUAAAAAUGUAUUUGCACGUCAGUCUGAUCCCUUUAUAGAUAACAUAACGAGUUAAUGCAGACUCAUGCAUUUUCAUCCCUUUGUUUUUUUAUUUCAUUGUUGUUGAUACUCUGGGGAAGUGAUGAUAAGAUUUAUCGAUAUGUCAUAGGCACAUGCAAUGCUGAACAAACAUAUUUGCACGUCAGUCUGAUCCCAAUACCCCAUCACUUUUGUUGUAGCAUAAACUUUAAUGCAUCUAUUCAUGUUAAUCAUUCCUCUUUUCUAUAUUUCUUUCAUGUUAAAAGACUGGGAAAUGAUGAUAAAGAUAUCGAUAUGGCUUAGGCACAUGCAAUGCUGAACCAAAUAUUUGCACGUCAGUCUGAUCCCAUUAUAAAGCAUCAUGCAAAUAUUCAUUGUUAAUCAUUCAUCUGUCUCUAUUUAUUUCAUGUUAAGAGUCUGGGGAAUGAUGAUAAAGAUAUCGAUAUUUCAUAGGCAUAUGCCAAUGCUGAACCAAAAUAUUUGCACGUCAGUCUGACCCCCAGCUCUUAUUUCUUUUUUUUUUUACUGCAUCCAUAGUAAAAAAUCUCACAAAAAUAGCCUUUCUUUUUAUAUGAAUGUUUCUUGUCUACCUUUGGGAUAUGAUGAUAAAAAGAAAGAAAGAGGUUGAUGGCACCUUUGCCUCUGAAACAUGUCUUUAUUUUGCACGUCAGUCUUAUCCUAUUUAGAAAUGUUUUCUUAUUCAAUAUAGUUGCUUGUGUUCUCGUUUCUGUGUAGAUUUCUCAGUGUCAUUGUUAUAUUUACACAAGUCACUUGUUGGUGCAGGUGUCUCUGUUGAAAAAACGGGUUAAUAUUGGGAGCGGCACACCGAGUAGAAUCAAAAAGCUGAUCGACAUAGAGGCAUUAGGGCUUUCACGUUUAGAUAUGAUUGUGCUUGACAUGCACGCAGAUGUGAAGGGAUUUUCCUUAUUCACAUUGCCCCAAGUCAGGUUUGUUUCUCCACUCUUUUACUUUCAUAUCAUCAUCUAACUUUGCUUUAUUACUUUUGAGUUAGAAUUCUGAUAAAACAUAUCUUGAAAUUUUGCAGAGAUGAGUUUUGGGAUUUGUAUAAGACAUGCUUCCACCAGAGAGUCCUAGAAGGAAGUCUGCGUAUCUGUCUGUAUGGUCCAAUGCCAGCAGCUCCAAAGCUUAGGAACAAUAAGAAACAGAGACAAAACCAGGAUUGAGCUAUAGCAGAUUCUACUCAAAUUUUGAUAUAUUUAGCUCUAGUUUUGCUAUGUUUGAUUUGUUUCUUUACUAUAGAGAGAGUGAGUGAAUCUUUUGUUAAUUAGUGUUCUUUUAACAACAGCUUGUGAGAAAUACAGUGUUCUGUUAAUUAGUGUUCUUUUUGCAUAAAGUAAGAUUCACUGAAAAGAGGAUCAAUAGAAAAACACUAUCCAGAUUAACAGUGUGUAUAUUUUAUACUCCAUCUACUUCCAUCUCUCAAAUGUUUGUGUGUUGGGAUUGUGGGUUUCUCCAAUAGAUGGUGGGGAAGAAGAGAUCCCCAUAAAUGCAGAAAAUAGUGGAUUCACCACCCAUAGAGCUUCUAGAUGUUUGACUUUUAGAACAUUCCAUUAAACAAAAAAAGAUGAUGCAUAAUGAUCCCAUUAUGACAUACUUUUAAGAUAAUGUAGAUUUCUCAUGGUUUGGUCUUUAAAGCUUGAACAGUGUUCUGAGAUAACUUUGUUGCUUGUGGCACCCAAAUUUCAUGAUUAGUCCAAAUUUUUAUUAGGAUUAUCAAUAAAAUAUUAUAGAUUGAAUAUGUCAACUAAACAAAAUUAAUGGGGUUUAUAAUCCUAAUGAUUAUUAUUGUUUGUCAACUCUAUGAUUUCAUAGUGAAAAGACAAUACAUUUAUAGUCAAACCGUGGUUGUGAAUUGGAUGUGGCUUUGGUUUCUUUCGUAUCUAUGUCUAUCGUUAAAUGUUUUAAGGUAUGAUGACGAGAGGAUGACACUUUUGGGACAUGUAAUUACAUAUUUUGUUAAUUAAAUUUUAAUUUGAUAUCACAUCCUAUAUGAUUACACCUCACACUUCUUAUUAUCGUGCUUCAGUUACAAAACAUUCAUUAGAAAAUAACAUUAUAAAGCUGGAGAUAAUGAUUUAACAACCACAAAAUAAUCGGGACUCGUAAUUUAAUGGCUUGUGUCACGAUUCGAAAAGAUAGUAUGUAUAGAAAACCUCUACAUCUCUUUAAUUAAUCACUCAUUUAACCAAAAAGGAACAAUUUUAUAUUAUACAAUACAAUUAGAUAUAGAAGAAGGCCCCUUUCAUAGUUUUAGGUAGCCAACUAGCAAACAGAAACGAGCAAGUGUGUAAUAUCUGGCUGUUCUGAAGUCGAUAAUUAGUUUCCGUUUCUUUAAAAUAAUGCCCAUUUUGUGUAAGCACACGUAUUGCUUAGGCAUAUUAUAUGUCACAUUUGUUUGGAUUAGCUUGAAUAUUUAUGUAGGAACUGAAAGUGAUAUACUCCAUUUUUCGUUUAGAUUUCUACUUGAUUAAUUAACUAAUGAUCACACACGAAUGCCACAAAAAGUAAUAGCCAGUAGUCACAUUAAAAACCCAUCAAAACAUUUUUUUAAAGAUAAACAAUUAUUUUAAAUAAUGGUCUACUUUUAAAAUAUUACUAAAAAGAUGCAUACUGUAAAAAUAAUAAUAGUAUAAAAACGUUGUUUGAUGAUGUAAUUAUAAAAAUAUACUUUCAUUGGGAAUGAGUUUUUUUUCUCAGGAUUCCAAUGAGUUUUUCUAUACGAUCAACGAUGGUUAAGAAAAUAGUUUAAAUAUUUACUAAAUUAGUUGGUGCAUCUAAAAUGCAUAAUAGAACGACUAAAAUAUACAGUUGAUCCCCUAGGUCAUUUAAAUGAUCAUGUUGUUCAAAUUUUCCUAGUAAGUAAAAAAUUAGGAUACUAAAUAAAUGUGGAGGAACGCUUGAAAUCGUUUUAAUAACAAUGCAUGUAAUGUUUUACCAAAAAAAAAACAAUGUAUGUAAUGAAACAAAAAUGAGCUAGAUAGUAUAUAUACUAUAUAGUCCAAAAGAAAAGAGAAGUAUGUAACUUUGCAGUAUAGGAAAGGUAAGAAAAGAUGAUAACCACUAAUCUCAUAUUUAAGUGCUAGAUUUGACAAGGUGAUAAAACACUUAAGAUUGGGUGUCUAUUGAUCUUUCAGUAAAACUUUUUGUUGGUUUUUCUUACCACAAAUGUAAAAACGAUAAAACAAUUCGAUUAUCUUCCUUUUUGUUCCUGAUUAUCUUUUAAAAACAGUCAUUCCUGAUGAUGACCAAAUCAUUUCCGUUUGAUUUACAUCGAUAGUGACACAACCUAUUCGCAUAUAUGUGAUGUAAGCAUGAGUCACUUGAAUUGAUUUAUAGUAUGUUUCUGUCAUAUAUUAAAUAUCAAUUAGCAACAGUAUUUUUCUAAAUGCGAACCCAGUUUUGAUACAGAUAGACAUAACAUGGUUUACAGCAAAAUUUUGAUGACGUCAACGUUGCGUAUGUGUCUAUGUAUGCAACAAGGACACGUGUCACGUCCCUAAGUUCCACGUUGGCAGUAGAAGUCUAGAGCUCAUCUUCAUUUCGUUAACUUUUGAACUGGUCUUCGAGGUUAAUCCAUAUUUUCACAAACGUAUUAGUUUUUGGGAUUAUCUGAAAUUGUCAAAUGAGUUUUGGCUAAAGUAAAUUCAUGUACUUUAAAAGUUACUCUACGUUGUCUUAUUCGGUAGCCUAAAGUCUAGUACUUUUCAUCCUAUUAUAACUAAUGAACUUUUUACUUUCUGUACUUCUGAAUCUACAUAAAAAUUUGUACAGAAAUGCAAACCGAACUCAAUACAUAUAUACCGAAAGUUUUGAACAAAAUCUAGAUUUUUAUUAAUAAAAUCAUCACGAAAAUUUCGUUUUUGUACGAAAACAAAUUUAAAAACAUUUUAAACUGAAAACAUAAGAUCCAACAUCAAUUUCGUUUGUCUAAAAAAUAGAAUUCAAAAGCCGAAUUGGGAACAAGAUAUGAAUUAAGAAAAAAAAAACUUGUAUAGACAUUUGACCCAAAAAAGAUCUGGUAUAGACGAUACAAAAGCUUAUCAAAGACUCAUAAGACGUCAGAGCAUGGAUCAUAAUGACGUGAGCAUGACACAAUGCAAUCAACGGUAUGGUUCCAAACAAUGCGGCGGUGUACGCUUUUUGAAGCCCAUUAGGGCCCACAAACAUUUCAAAGCCGUCAUUCUAUAAAUAGCCAUACACAAUCACAAUACCAAAACACAACCCAAAUUCAUCAAUCUAUCAACGAGAACACAAGCUAAGAAAGAAAAAAAAAAAGAGAGACCACAAGUAGUAUAUGAGAGCUGCACUAAACAGAGCAAAUUUUGUUGGAGGGUUGUUUUCAUUCAGAAACAUUAAAUCUAUGUCGUCUUCUUCUUCACAAAACUUCGUAUCAAGAUCUGUAAUCAAGAAAGUCUUCGCUAAGCUUCAGAAAGAAGGCGAUGGAGCCGUUGUCAGACGUGGCAUUUCCAGGUUCUUUAAUCAUUUUUCUUCUUAUUUAAGGAAAGUUAAUGAUUCCCAGUUUAAGUCUUAUAAAUCUUUUUUUUUUUUUUUGCAUAAAUUCAGGAGUGAGCAGAAGUUAUUAGAUCCGUUCUUGAUGCUAGAUGAGUUCUCUGGUACAUUUCUUAUUUGUUUAUUUAUUUCAUCUAUUAAACAAAAGCAGUCAUUUAUUGAUCAUUAAUUCUUUAAUUAUGUUUUAUAAUUUUUCUUUGGAGCAGUUUCACCUCCAGCUGGAUUCCCAGAUCACCCUCACAGAGGUCAGUCAAACCAUCUAUGCUUUUUAUACUUUACAUACAUGGAUAUAUUAACAAUGGUUUUAUGUAAUACGUUUCUUAACAUUUUUGUGUGAAAUGUUGAUGUACAGGUUUUGAAACUGUUACAUACGUACUUGAGGUAAAAACACGCAUCGCUAAUUGGUUUUCUAAAAUAAACAUUGGUCUUAUUCCAUAUAGGAGUAUGAAAUAAUUGGCUAAUUAUCUUCUUCUUCUAUUUUUUUUUCAUUUUUUUCAGGGAGGAAUUACUCAUCAAGAUUUCAAAGGCCACAAGGGUACAAUCUAUGCUGGUGAUGUUCAGGUAAAAAAACAGAAUGAAAUGUUUAACCAUUCAUAAUCCAACAACAAUUAAAAAAGACCUUAAAAAAUUCUAAAUAUGCAUAUUUUGAUUGCAAUUCCUUGUAAUCAGACCUUCAUUAUCUUGUUAAUGAUAUUUACCUUUUAGCAAAAAAAAAAAAAAUCUAAAUAUGUAUAUUUUUCAGUGGAUGACUGCAGGAAGAGGAAUCAUUCAUUCUGAAAUGCCUGAAGAAGAAAUCAACAAAGGUCUACAACUUUGGAUCAAUCUUUCAUCCAACGAAAAAAUGUAACACAAAACGCACUUGCUAUAAUUAGAAUUUUUUUAUUAGGAGUUUCUAAACCGGAUAAUUAACUCUCUAGUUUUGAUUCCGACAGGAUAGAGCCAAACUACCAAGAACUGUCGAGUUCAGACAUACCAAAAGCGGAACAAAACGGUGUCCAAGUCAAAGUCAUAGCAGGAGAAUCAAUGGGAAUUAAAUCCCCUGUUUACACAAGAACACCAACAAUGUUCCUUGAUUUCACUCUCGAUCCAGGAGCUCAGUUCCACCAAAAAGUUCCGGAAUCUUGGAACGCGUUUGCUUACGUUCUUGAAAGCGGUGAAGGCGGAGCCGUUUUCGGCUCAUCAAACGCGUCUCCUGUUUCAUCACACAACGUUGUGGUGUUUGAACAAGGAAAUGACGGUGUUAGCGUGUGGAACAAGUCAUCUUCGAAGAAACUGCGGUUUGUGUUAAUUGCUGGAGAACCAUUAGGUGAACCGGUGGUUCAGUACGGUCCUUUCGUGAUGAAUACUCAAGCUGAGAUUGAUAUGACCAUUGAAGAUUAUCACUAUGGUAAGAAUGGCUUCGAAAUGGCCAAGUAUUGGAGGUCACAAUGAUAGAGACACAAUAAUCAAUGUUUUAAUUAUUAUUUUCAUACUUGUUUUUUUAUCCUAUGUGUGUGAUUUAAAUGGGACAAUAAUAAAGUUUAAACUCAAUUUCUUUUGCUAAGUAUGUGGGUGGGAACCCAUUAAAUCCAAGGCUGACUUUGUUUUAGUUCCAACCGUAGUGAUCAUUAUUGUGUUUUUCCACAAUCUAGUUUAAAUUAACCGUUUAUGCUAUGAUAAUAUAAGGCAUAUGAAGAAAGCAUCCCACACUUUCUCUAGUGUGAAAUAGACAUGAGACGAAACAAUUGUUAAAUACCAAACGCGUAUUAACACGUUGAAGUGACAUUAACAUGAUUGUCAUUACUUCUAACAUCUUUUAUUACUAACUUUGGUUGUCAACUUCGGUUAAUGCAUUCUGAACGUAUGGUGAUACAGAGUGAACGCAAGGAAUACACCGACUACAUUGCUUCAUCGAAAAUCAUUUUCUACUAUUUCAAACUUUCGGCUCUUAUGAUUAACAUCAAAUACAGUCUAUUAUUUUUCUAUUCAACAUUAAUAUGUUUGAUUUAACUACGGUUGUAUAGAAUGGAAGCAAUAAAUACACGAACUACUUUUUUUAAUACACGAACUACAUUGCUCCAUAUGAAAUAUACAUCUUCUUAUCGUUUUGUAUAGAAACUUGUUUAUGUACAUCUUUGAAACGCAAAUACUAAGAAAACUAUUCUUUUUUUUUCAAAAAAUAUUUUCAACAUAACUUGAACAACUAUGGAAAAGUUGCAGAAUAUAAUUAAAUUUAUAAUGUACUAUGGUAUACAAAAAUUAUAUAGAAAUGUAUAUUGUAAAACAAGUUACUUUGAAACAUCUUAAAUUAUAAAACAGAAACAGCAAUUGGAAAAUAUCAAAAAUGAUUUUUUAACACUCACAAAGUUUACAAAGAACAUAAGUAGAAAAAUGAGAGUAUAAACUUAUACAUUGAUAAAACUUCUUUGUCCAAUUUUGAUUACAUUUCUUCUGUAUUUGUAACAAAGAAACUCAAAACACACACACCUUUCUCUCUUUAGCUUUAGCUUUCAAUCGAGAACCAAAAAGAAUGUAUCUGUCUUCACUAUAAAUUAUACCCAGCGAAACCAACCAACCCCUCAGGACAAGAGAAAAACAUUACCUCGAACAGCAAGAAAAUGACUUUGUCCCUUCACUCUCGUUCUUGACCAAACUAACCCUGUUCCCGGUUACUUCCUCCUUGUAAGAAUCAGAGUUGAGCUGCUUCCGACUGAUGUUGCCAUAGAUGUCGCGGAUAACCAUCUCGAAAGCCGUGCUUACAUUGGUCGAAUCAAGAGCUGAUGUCUCCAUGAAAAACAAACCUUGAGACUCCGCAAGACUCUUGCCUUCCUCAAUGCUCACCGCUCUUAUGCUCUCGAGAUCACACUUGUUCCCUAUUAGCAUCUUCGCUACUGUUGUAUCAGAGUGAGCUGCAACAAAAAAAAAACAAAGCAAUACACUUUUUGACUUCAACUUUAAUCAAAGUCAUCAUCAUCAUCAUCAUUAUCAUCAUCAUCAUUACCAUCAUCAUCAUUUCUAUGACUCUUCUCAUUCACUCAAAAAUUGAAUCUUUCAAUCAAAAGCAACACUCUGUUUGCAGAUCUCACUCAAAGAUUGAAACUUUCAAUCAAAACCAGACUCAAUUUGCACAGAUCUCACUGAAAGAUCGAAACUUUGAAUCGAAAUCAAGACUCAAUUUGCAGAUCUCACUCGAAAGAUUGAAACUUUGAAUCCGAAAAAAACAGAGGAGGAGGGGAACACGUACUGUUGAGCUCAUCGAGCCAGCGACCGACGUUCUCGAACGUCGAGGUGCGAGUGAUGUCGUAGACGACGAGGGCUCCGACGGCGCCGCGGUAAUAGGCGGAGGUGACGGCGCGGAAGCGUUCUUGGCCGGCGGUAUCCCAAAUCUGAGCUUUGACUUCUUUGUUGUCGAUGAGCAUGCUCUGAGUCUGGAACUCGACGCCGAUGGUGGCUUUGGAGUUGGGGUUGAACUCGUUGCGUGCGUAGCGGGUGAGGAGGUUCGAUUUGCCGACGGCGGAGUCUCCGAUGAUGACGAUCUUGAAGAGGUACUCUUCGCAUCUCUCGUCGUCCGACAUGUUUUCCACUUGUUUCCUCUUUUACUCUCUCUCUCUCUGUUCUGUAAUAACGCUUAGAGAGAGAAAGAGGAGAGAGAGAGAUUUGAUUUGCCUUUAUUGUAGGCUGGUUAUGAGGCGCACUAAUAAAUGUUUCUCACUUUGCGCAUGAAGUAGAUUUUCAUCAUAGUUAUGAGCUGGUAUGACGCUAAAGCAUGUCGGAGGCUAAUGUGAAAGCUUGUAAUAAGUAGAAGUUACUGCAAUGGUUUUGGGCCUAUGCAUGCCUUGUGUUUGGAUAAUAUACAUGAGUGAUAUAUUUGAGAAUGAUCAAGGCUAUUAAUUAUGAGCCUUAUACUUGCGAUUCUAUCUAUGCAUAGACCGUUUCUUCAACCCUUCCUUCUAGUUUAAGGCUCGAUAGAGCAGGGCAGCUCUGGUUGCAAUGAUGUGUUAGCCAAUUGUAUUCCUGUUAGGCUAAGAUUAGAUUAUUGAGAGAGAUUAACAGCUAAGUUAUAACCGGUUAUGAAUCUAUAUACGUAAAGUAGAGAUAAUAUUAUAAAUUGUAAACUUGUUAUUAAAUUGAAGAGACUACAACUCAAUAGGCGGUUUAUAACAGCCUAUGUUUUAUUUUUAUACUCCGUGUUUGAGCCUAUGUUAUCGAUCUACGUUGUCGGUCCCUUAUUCUUGGUGAUGCCAAAAUGUUAAUUUUCUAGUAGCCAAUGGCAAUCGAAGCCGGGACCAUAUCGAAUCUAUGGUCGCCCAAGUACCACUAGCCCAACUCGGGUUGAUUAUAACACCCUAUGCUUCAUAAACUUUUGAUAAAAUAAUCCUAAUUACAUUGAAACUAUAGGUAAUCCUAAUGACUAUAGGAUUCCCUAAUAAUAUACAAUGAGCUAUCUAGUAUGUUGGAGUUAGGAAAGAAAAAUGAAAACUACAGGUGAAAACGUAGGAUUGAAUACUAUAUCACACACAUUAAAACCAGUAGUUUAUGUUCUAAGUUAAAUUAACCAAAUUUGUUUUAUUGGUUAAAUUUUGAUUGAUCUAAGUAAUUGAAGUUGUUAUAAGUUGUCAGUUGUCACUAUGGUGACGACUUCGAGAAUGUGUCAAAACAAGACUUCAUUAAUAGACCACCGUCACUUUCUUUGGACCUCCGAAAUCACAAGUAUAUAAUUAAAAUCUUUUUGUUGCUGUUGAAUUGAUUCCUUAGUCUCCUUUUCUUCUCUUCUAUACUUCAUGUUUGGAAACACAUCAUAUCAUUUCAUCAUCGCUUCUUGCAUGCCCCACAAGUGCAUCUCUCCAUCCCCUUUUCCAGCGACUACACAUAACAUAUAAUCAACGAGAAAUACAACAUUACUCAGCAAAUAUUUACAUGUUUGUGAUAUUGUACAAGCUCUAUCUAUGUUUUGAUAUCUCGUUUUCCAACUGUAUGAUAUAGACAUAAGUUCAACUGAGUGUCUCUUCAUAGACUAAGUCAAUACGACCAUAACAUGUGAAUAUUAUGUACAUGGGACCUCAGAAUCUAAGGUUAUCCUCAAACAUGCAUGCACAUACUAAUGCGUUGAUAGAACUGAUAGAACAUACGGUAUAUACAUAACCAUUUAUUUGUUUGUGUACGUAGAGCGAUUAUGCAUGAUUCUUAAUUCAGAGGAGUCUAUAUGUUAUUAAAACUAUACCAAAUAUACACAAGGACGCACCUCUACUUGUUGUUGAAGACCUUUGAUAUGCUCAACCGCCAAAUCCAACAUGUCUGCAUAGCUCGUUUGCUGCAUAAACAGAAAUAAUAUCAAUAUUUUUAGUUAUAUAAUCUUCUUAACUACAUUUAAGCUACAUAGAUCUUUUAAUCCAUAUCCCUCACUUUGUCCAUAUUGGGCACCAGUUCUUGUAGCUUCUUCAGCUUCCCGCUUAUUCUCGUUCUUCGCUCCUAUACAUAAAACUUGAUCAUACUCUUGUGUUUUUUGGGUAUCACACACAGUUCUCUUGUAUGAUUAUAUGUUUACUCUUCUGUAGUAAUAAUAAUAUCAAACAAUAGAAUACAACUAACCCUUUCAGCGAUGCUGCGCGGGUGAGUAGCGCAGCCACGCUUGGCCCUAGUCCUACAAGGCACCGAAUCCUCUGGUAUGUUCAUCAUACUCUCCAUUCUCGCCAUUUCCAGAGACGUUUGCGGCAUACUAAACUAAAGAAUCAUAACCAUAACAUGCCAAGAAAAUAAAAAUAUUACAUAAUAUCCAAACAAAAUUAACAUUAUAGACUUACAGAAUAAACAUUUUGUUAGCAAAGGAACAGCUUGUGAAGAAAUAUACAUAAACCAAUCUAAAUCUUUCUCUAAACCAUUUAUACGUAUAGCAUAGAAACCGUUCAACAUACAUGAAUUUGUGACAUACCUUCUUUCUACUGGGAUUGAUUUGGCCUUAUGAAUUUUAAUCUAAAUUUAAAAAUUUCAUAUUACAUGUGUUAAACUAAGCACUUAACGCAGUAUAAUAACUUUUAUUAACUUCGACAUACUAUAUAUAAUACACCAAAGAACAAAACCAUUCAACUUUUGGUGUAUGCUUUUCUCCCCCUUUAUGUUAGAGAUUCAAACAACUAUGGAACUUUAUUGCAUAGAAAGUUAUUGUACUCAACAUUCAUACGACACAUAUAACCACAAAAUCAUAGAGAUACCUGUGUUUCUAAGGUGAAAAAGUCGGUGGUCUUGGACCGUUUCCCGGGUUCAUCAAUGGUGAAACUGAUAUGAGAAGACGAGUUGUCCCAAUUGUUGUGAUCAUUUCCAAAAGUCAUACUCGUCGAUGGGACACCUUUUAUAGCCGCCGCAGCUGCUUCGACCUCCGAGAUUCGCUGUAGAGAGUUACGUUCUUGAUGACUACUACUACUACUCCCGCCGGAGAAUCUCAGCUCCGGCUUCAACCCCGACGGCCCUCGCUCUCCUCCUCCGUAUCCUCCGUUUGGCCUCCCUAGAGAGAAACCUGUUCGCUCAUCCAUCAACAAAUUUAGAUCCAAAGAGAAACAAAGAGAUGUAAUGUAACGUAGGGUUAUAACUUGUAAUGAUCUCAGUAUUUAAUAGCCAGUACGAUUUUAAAAUGCAUAUAUAUGCACAAAAUAGAAGAGAAUGGGUCUUGUUCGAGACUCGAGGAACCCUUCCUUUGUCUCUACUUUGAUUUUCUUUAUUUAUCCAAUAUUUUAUAGAGAAUAACGAUUAAUCAUGAAAAGAAUCUUAUAAAUUAAUUCACUAUUUGAAUUCCAGAUAUUAUUAUAAACAAACUAUUAUGUAUUGUAUAUGCGUAUAUAAUAAUGCAAGGGGGUAAGUUUUCUUGGGACUCGCACAUGGAUUACAGUGGAAAAAUAAACCGGACGGAUGCAAUGAACAGAAGAUCAAAUUGCACAAAAGUAGUAUAGAUUAUUAUUCGCAACUAACAAAACAGUAAUAAAUCAAUUAUUUAUAAUGACAAGUAGGCGUAUCCAAAAAUAGAAACAGUGACUAUGAUGAAGCCAUGUCAGCAUGGUUGGCCUCAUGGCUGCUUUGUCAGAAGAAAAAGAGCAAGUGGGAUGGGUAUAAUAUUGCCAAGUGGACUAUACUUUUAUUUAGUUUUUUGCAAUGAUUCGUUUUUUAACAUAUACUUUUGGCAAGUGCAUGUUUUAUAAUACAUGCUAUUUGCAUUAAAUUGCAUUUUCAAAAUAUACAACUUGCACUUCCUGGAAAUACGUGUUUAAUUAUUCGUGCAUGUAUAGUGUAUCUAUAAGUUGUAUAUUUUGUAAAUAUAUAUAUGCUCGGUCCUAUGUAGUUGGACGAUUAAAGCAUGAAAAUAAAAAUUUGUCCCCAAUCCAUUAUACUUACAAGAUUUUGAUGUUUUAAAAAUUUUAUAUAAAUUUAGCACUUGAAACUAAUGUAUUAUAAGCUUUAGCCAAGGCAUAUUUAUAUACAAAUAAUAUGGACCAUGGGACUCCAUAGAGAAAAUGAAAGAGAAAUGUGUGAACAAAAUCUAUUGAUAGAUAGAUAACCAUAUCAACUAAACAAAUAUAGGUAGAUAUUUUGAUAGCUAAUGUGAUUUCCAUUUUCAUUUUAGUGGUCGAUAUUAUAUCUGAUAAUUAAUUAGAAAACAAAAGUCGUAUCCUUUUAUAUGUGGAGGAAAACUAGUUGACAAAUUAAAGUCGUCGAAAUAAAUUCAAAGGUUUGGAUUCAAGGAAGUGAAAAUUACUUGUAAGAUUAAUUAAUAUACCUACUCGUGUUUGUCAAUAAAAUAUCAUACUCCUUCAGACGAAAUAAAUAUCAUACUCCAUUCAAACCGAAUGUUUAAAGAUUAUUCGCAUAUUUUGAAAAUCUUGUUGCAAUACUAGAUCUAAGUAAUUGUCAAUUUAGUUUUGUAUUAGUUCAAUUUAGUUAAAAGUUGUUAUAUUAGUUCUAAUUGGUACAAGUAAAAGAACACUAACUUUUUUCAAAAAACACUAAUUUUGUAUACAUUCUUAAAAAAAUACAUAUACAUUUUAAAAGAACAUACAUAUAUACGCAUAUAUGAAACAAUUAAAAACUUAAACCAUUUAAUUUAACUAAAGAGUACUAAAUUUAUUAUGUCUGUGUGAGUUAUAAAUGUCAGACACACAAAAGGUUACCGUUGACAGUGGGAAGAUGUUGGUCAUAGAAUCCAGCCGGGGAGCUUCUGUGUCGGAACAAUGGAGAGGAAGAAGAAGCCCCGGGAUCGAAUCCAAUGUUAGAUGGAUCAUCGGGGAAGCAAUCACCGAGACCGACGACGUUAGGAUCCUGCUGCUGCCGCGGAGGAUUAUAGUGGCUUUGAGAGCCGAGGGAGGAGAAAUCACGGGUAGCUCCAGCGGCUGAGUCAUAUCCAUUGUUGUUGGCGUCUCCGCCGUCUGGAACGGUGGACUUGGAGGAGGAAGGAGGAGGAGGGUACAUAAAUUGUUUUUGCCGGAAAAGAAAAACCCUACAAAAGUUAAUCUGAUACUUAGAGAAAAAUGUCUUUAAGAGAGAGAGAGAUUAGGAAUAGCUAAUUAAUAAUAUUAUAAUGCAAGAGGGUUGUUACUAAAUAUAGUUAGGAAUCGUUAAGUAAUGAAUUAAAAAUAAAGGCGGCCAAGUUAGAGAGAAGGCUUGUGUGUGGUCUGUGCUGAGUGGUGCUUGUCCGCUUGACCAAGAGAGAGUCUCUUAUUCACGGUCCGUCAAUGCACGUGCACCUCACAUAUAUGGUCGACAGAUGGUGGCUUUGACGUUCUUUAGAUUUCAUUUAAUUGUUAUCUUUCUUAUAACUUGUCAUUUAUGGAAGUUGUGAAGAUGUUGGUUGGAGAUGUAACUUAAAGAUUUAGGGUUUUUUUAACAACAUAAUUUUUAUUAAUUAGAUUGUAAAAAAAUUACACAAAUACAUGCAUAAUAAUGAAAGCACAACAAACAACACAUAUAAAAUGAAAAAUAAAACCACGGAGCACAUGAAAUAGCUUGAGAAGAUGAUUUUUGUAGAGGUCUUUGUUACUAUAGUUAUACACUCUAUUAAUUUUCUUGCAGUCUUGAAAUCUUUGUCACAUUAUAAGCAUCGAAUUUAGAUACAUAUAUAUAUAUAUACACAGUAAAUUUUUAUAAAUUAAUAAUGUUGAGAUUUUGAUAUUUUAUUAAUUUAUAGAAUUAUUAAUUUAUUAAAAACUCCUUUUUAGAUUUAUUUUAUUUUAAGUUAUAUUUUAAUAAAAUAAGAAAAUAUUUGAUUUUAUUGUAUAUACAUUAAUUAACUUUUUGAAAUUCGACAUUUAUAUUAGUUUUAUUAUACUAUUUGGUGUGCAUAAAAUAUGUUUCAUAAAAUUUAGAUGGGAUUUUAGAUAUAAUUUUACAAAAUCUCAUCAAACUUUAUUAAAGAUAAUUUUAUUGUGAAUUUAAAACAAACAAUAUAAUGGUUAGUUUGAUGUUACAAAAAUAAUAAUAAUAAUAAUAAUAAUGGUUAGUUUGUACUUAUAUAAAAUUUCUAUUCAUAUAAAUUAUUAAUUUAUAAUUUUAAUGAGACCAUAUAUUUAUACAAUUUUUUUUAUAAAGUUAUUCUCUUAUUUGGGUUAUAUUUUGAACUUGCCUAAUUUGGGAUCAGAAAAAUUUAUUAAUUUAUCGAAUAUUAACUUAUAGAGUUUUUACUAUGUAUAUAUUCUUCGGCCAAUGUGUUGAUUCAACCGUAAAAAUACAUAUUAAAAAUACCAAUUUUCAACAGUUGUAUGAAUAUCAUCAAAUAACAAAGAGAGCAUAUCUUCAAUAUUUCAUGUUGCCACCUCAAACAAACCAUGAUUUCAGUGAUACAUUUUGAUACCAAAUAUACUGUAUUAAAAUAUAAUUUCCGAAAGAUUUUGGGUUUUAUAUUUGGUAAAUAACUAAAUGGUAAUGAAGAAGAUUUAAGUUAUAGACUAUAUAUUGUAUUACGUAUAUUCAGAAUUUUCAAACAUUAUUAUGUGUGCGCGAUUCAUUCCACAAUCACAAUCGUUAAAUGACAAAUAUAAUACUUUUUGGCCAAAAUACUUUACUUGCAUUAAAUCAUACAUGCUGUACGAGUUGUACGUAAGUAGGUUAUUAACAGAAAGUAACACAGGAUAUUGUCGAUGGAGCCUGCUUCUCUGAGAUUGUCUCGGGGAUUCAAUCGAGUAAAUUUCGAAUCGGACUCUAAAGACCUGGGGACAACUAUUGUCGAUGGAGUCUGCUUCUCUGAGAUUCACGGAAUCGUCUCCGAUAUCACCUUUCUAUUCAUUGUUUGAGUUUUUUUCCUUUCGAUAUUGUAACCGUCUUUCUCUAUCCUUUGAAGACGGUCUAGCUAAGCAGAUGUUUGGUUCUGUUUGUACCAGACAUUAAUUUAUCGGUUAUAAGAAAGCAUUGGUUUGACAAAAAAAAACACAGGAUAUAUAUAUAUAUAUAUAUAUAUAUAUAUAUUAGGGGUGUUCAAUCCGGAUAUCGGUUCGGUUUAGGUUCGGUUUUUUUCGGUUUUCGGUAUUUCGGUUAGUAAAAUAUAACUACCAUUCUAAAUCCAUAUUUACUUCGGUUCGGUUCGGUUUAUAUACCGUCGGUUUUUGGUUUAUUCGGUUUUAUACCAAAAAACAUAAUUAUUUAGGUUGAGAUCAUAUUAUAUGAAUUUUAGAAUCAUAUUGUCAACACAGUCAUUUAUUAAAAAUAUAUUACAUGUUCAAAUAAAUGAACAAAAAAGUAAAAAUGCUUCUACCAUCAAAUAAAAUAAUCAAAUCUAUAACUAAAUCAAAGCUUGAAAUUUUAAAAAUAAAAAUAUGAAACAAAACAGAAAUAUAAAAGAAAUUUUUUUUCACUCUUCCCUAUUUAGUGUUCAUUAAAGUCAUGCUUUUUCAAUUAAACACAAAACUCUGUUUGUUUACAGAUAAAAAACAAUUAUGAAAAUUUUCCAUUAAUUAUUGUCCAUCAAAUUUAUAAUCUUCAUAUUAAUUUAGUGAAGACUAAAAUAAAGCAAAAAGAUCAAAAGAAGACUUAGAAAAUAAGAUGUCUGAAUUGCGAUGUAUUGUUAUUUAAUUAUAGUUCAAGUUUUUUACAAAUUAAGGUUCUUUAUUACUAUAAAAUUAUGGUAAUAGUUAUUAAUACAAAUUUAACUUAUGUAACAAAUAGAUUUUCAUGUAUUGUUAUAAAAUAGAUACAUAUUUACGUGUUUCUACUUUUAAUCGGUUUUGUUCGGUUUAUUCGGUUUAAUCGGUUAUAUACCAAACCAUAUCCAAAUCCUACGGUUUUUAUAAAAUUAUAUCCAUUCGGUUUAUAUGGUAUAUACCAAAACCAAACCAUAUUGUCUAUUUCGGUUCGGUUCGGUUCGGUACGGUUCGGUUUUACCAUAUUGAACAGCCUUAAUAUAUAUAUAUAUAUAUAUAUAUCUAUAUAUAAAGCUUAAAUUUGUUAGGAAAAAAAAUAUAUUAUUGUAUAUACAAAAUUGAACAUGAAGAAUCCAGAACACUAUUUAUAGGGUUAUUAUUAAUACCCUAGAACCAUUUGCUUAGGUAAGAACAUCGACAAGUUUCAAAUGAUAUGCUCGUAAAGUCAGUUUUAAAAGAAGAAAAUAAUAUAAAAAUUGAUUGUGGAUUAUAUCAGUUUGGGUGAAUCCAUUGGCAAAUAAUCGAAGCCCAUAGUUUUGGGGGCUUAAACUUUAAACAAAUAUGCAUUUUGUUAAUUAUCGUCAAGUGGGUCGUUAAGAUUCCAUUUUGUAUUAAUGGGAAAACACUUUCUAAUUGUACUAUAAAUUAGUACUAUAUUAUGGUUUACAGAUAGUCCGAAACUUAAAUUAUUUGGAUAAUAGUCAUAUUAUUGUUCAUGUUCUCGACCACCACAUAUGAUCCAAGACAAAGGAUGUCAACAAAAAAGAGGGACAAAGACCAUGACAAAACAUCCAUUUUAUACAUAUAUACAACUAGUUGGUUUAUAUAAAACAUUACACAUAUGUACUUUUUAUUAUACUAUUGUGAACGCCCAUAGAUUAGGGCAGACCACUGUAUUUAUUUUCUAAACAUUUGAUUGGGGUUCCAUAUUUAUGUUUAAAGUGGAGAAGAUUUUGGUUGUAGGUCUCACAUAAAUCAAUACCAUAUUUUCAUAUAAUCGUUUUUCAAUAUUUGAAAGUAGCUUGGCGAAUUGAAUAAAAAGUAUUAUAUCAAACCUAUUUGAAAUAAUUUAAUUUUUGUUAAAUGUUAAGAUAAUCUUAGUGAUGUUGGAUAAAUAUAUACAUAUAGUUUGUUCAUUAAGAUGCUAUAGAGUACCUACAAAUAUAUAUCCAAUAACAAUUUAAUUUAUAUAAUUUAAAAAUGUAAUAAUUAAUGGCACAAACAUUAAUCUUCUGCUGAAAUUCACAAUAAUCAAAUACUAAAAUGCAAGUCCGUAAAAAGGUAAAUCACAAAUAUCAAUAUUUAUAGAAACAAAUAUCUAAUUUGAUCCGUAAUAUGCAUAUAUAUAUACAUAUAUUUAAAGAAUUAUAUAUAAGUUAUAUAUUAUAGUUUAUAUAAAUUUUACAAUAUUUUUGUUUUUAAAUAAUUUUAUUUUAAGAAUUUUAUUUUUCAUGUAUUAUUUUGAAAAAAUAUCAUUUAAUAUUAAUUAACAGUAUCUUUAUAUAUUUAUCAACCAUCUUUAUAUACUCUUACAUACAUAUAUAUGUGCAUAUUGGCGUGAGCAUUUUAUACUAAGUAUUUACCACAACUGAAUAUCUAAUUUUUUUGGAAGUUAAAAUAUUCUUUUUUCUUAAUGUUUUUUCACUAUCGACCAAAUUGUAGUAAAAUGAUUUGUCUUAAUAAUUUUUUUUAUAACUGUUAUUCGUUUAGAAACUAUAAUAUGAAACCACCGGUUCGACAUCACGACUAUCUAAGAUUCAUAACAUGAAAACAAAUAAAUAAUAGUAAUUUUUGAUUAUCACAUGAAAAAAAACAUCAAACAUUUUAACCGAACAAACCAAAUAAAUAUUGAUUUAAAAUAAUAGUUAUAUUUUAGGAGAUUAAAAACAAAAAAAACAACCUAAAACCGAACCGAUAUCCAAAUUAAACAGAUUUAUGUCUCUUUAUUAAAAAAUAACGAAAAUAAUAAUCACAUUCCGUGGAAAACGCGGGUUAUUACUUAGUUUUGCCUUGUUUAGACGUGCCAAAAUAAACAGGCCGUAUCAGUCCAACUCUUAUUUAGAUGUGCCAAAAUAAACAGGCCAUAUCAGUCCAACUCUUAAGGGAGGUGGAUAAAGUUCCUAUACUUAUUAGGUUGGAUAUUAUUUGUAUCUAAAUCAAAUAUAUGUUUCUCCCCUCAAGUUCAAAUAUAUUUGGCCAAUAAAUUUUGUUAUUAUAUUUUGAAUGGAAUUUGUAACAAGUAUUUUGAUUAUCGUUCAUGUCUAUUUCUCUUUUUGGUAAAAUAAUCAAGGAUUUGGGGCUUUUUGCUACGCUACUUAACUUAUUUCACUGAUAUUAUUAUUUUCUUACCAUUUGUGGAAAUGGUCAGUUAUAAGAGUGAUGGUGAGAUCCAGAUGUCUAAAUGACAAAAUCCAAAAUACUUGGGAUUGACAAAAAAGUGGGUUAGUAGAUUUAGCAAUUUUGUUGGGCUAGUUUUGGCCUUUUGGGCAUUUAGUUUUAAUGAAAACCAUGGUCGAACCAAAAAAAGUUGGUGCUCAAAUUUAUUUAUUUUUCUCAAACUGAGAAAAUUCUGUUUGGUCAUGUAGUACGAUUUUCUGAUAUUUCUUUCUGGUGAAAACAUGAAAAAUAACAAUCCUGCGGGACACAUGUAUCUCUUUUGGAUUUUCAUGAAAGGAAAGUUUCAGGGAAAAAAUAAAUAAUAAUAUGACAUCGUUUUAUGAUUUCGAAUUUAGUUUUCUUACUUGUGGUUUAUAUUUUGGAAUAAUAAAAAUACAAACCAGUUCGUUUUCUAUGGGAAUGACCAAACCAGUUAAACUGCAAAAUUACAUAAACGAAAUCUAUGAUAAUUAAAAUUACUAAAAGACUCAUUCGGUUUUCUUAUGAUUGUUUCGGAAUUUGUUUGAGUUCAGGUUGAAUGUUAUGGUUUAGUCUUUUUAUAAAUAUAAUUUGUUUAAUUUGUAAAUAUAAUUUGUUUAAUUUGUAAAUAUAAUUUGUUUAAUUUGUGUAUAUGUAAAUUUAACAAAGGUCCAGAUAUCUAAGCACGGUUAAAUGAAAAGUAAUUACAUGAACCCACAUUCUAGUAUAACUACCAACGUAAAAAUCUAUUCAACCGAGCCUAUCCAACCAAAUUGUAAAUUAUAGAUAAAUAUUUAUUGUAUAAGUUGGUUAACCUUAUUAUAUAAUUUCUUAAUUUAUAUUUGCAUUGUGAUUAAUCAUUUGUUUAUCUAUGCAUACUCACAUAUGUGUGUGCUUGCCUCCAGUAAAAUAUGGCAUUGGUUAUUUGAUCCAAUCACUUUCAACUUCAUGAUGACAACUAUAUUAUCUUCCAUUGAAGCUUCUAAUAACAAACUAUUUGCUAUUUUUACUGGUUAGUGAAGUACUUUAUUUAUAGAAAUUCAUGACAAUCUAACCUCAUCAUCUGGUUAAUCUCUAGAACUUGUCAGCUAACGGACACAAUUAGAUUAAACUUCUUCUUUUUUUAUUGCAAAGAAUAUUCAUUAAGUCGAUACCUAUCCAUAGGAGCAUCUUACUAGAAGCAAUUCAAAGAUGGAGCAACUUAGUUUAUGAUAAAUUAAUGCCACCUUAUCAUGUAUUCAAUAUUUUAAUUAGAAUAACAAAAAUAAUUAGGAUUUUGUUAUAUACUUUUCGCAAGAAAACAUAGAAUAAACUAUAUAAGAAUAAAACAAAUAGAGACCAAGAGAUGAGACAUGAGGAAGGCUAGUUAGUUGUUGGAGGCUGCUGUCUGAAUUACGCCGCCGUGGGGUCAACCCCGACUUACUGUUACAAUCAAAAUGAGUGAGCUAGUUUGUUUUCUUGUUUUUUUACAAUAAUGUAUAAAAUGAAAGGUUUUCUAGAAUCCUUUUCUCUCCAGAAUUUAAUUUUGCAAUUUUAUUACACUAAUGUAUAAGUGAUAAUAAUCUCAUAUUUUGUGCCCAAAAUUUUAAUAAUGGCUAUGCAGGCUGUUUAAAUAUCCUCACAAACCAGUAUUACAUAUUUAAUAAAACAGUCAAACGAAAUCAAAUCGUUUUGAACUUAUAAUUUUCUAUACAAUUAUUCGAUUUUGGGAGUAGCUUCUACUAAAUGAUUGUUUACCAUUACUGAUUCUUUCAUAAUAUGUAAAUUUAAGAUUAAUCUGCUUAUGGGGUUAAAAAUCUAAGUGAUACAAGUGAUCAAAGGAUAUUUGGAAACCUGAAUAAACUUAUAAUUGGUGGCUGUUGAUUGCUUGGCGAUUAUGGCAACAAAAAGUCAAGUCAGCCAAAGGAAGUAACCCCGUUACCGUUAAGACGGUGGCCUCAAGUACGACUUGACCGAAAUGCGGCCAUGUGAUGUUAUAAUUAAGCAAUGUGGAAGUAAGUAUCAAAGUGUACCUGUCUUUCACAAAACUGGUUGUGGUUGACCACAAAAAUUCCAACAAUUUGUUUUUUUACUGAUUGUCGAUACAUAUUUGUUGCCAACUUGCCACCUUUGCAUUUUAAAAUAGCAUUCUAUUUGUUAAUUUUAUUUAAAAAAUUCUAGUGAAAAAGACUUCGGAGGGGGGGGGGGGGGGGGGGGGGGGGGGGGGUAGACUUUGUGAGGUCUUGUUUUUCUAUUUCUCGUAGUAUUAUAUAAAACGUAUUUUUGCGUGCUUCAACAGAAGCUUAAUAUCUGAACUUGUAGGAUUUUUUCAAGUUCUGGGGCCAAUUUUCUUUUUUCUUAGUGCACAUAUAUAUCUCCGGUUUUGGUUCCUUUAUAAGUUCAGCUUUACUUCUCAGAAUAAAGUUUACUCUAAUAUGAUUUUUUGGGUUCGUUUCCUAAAUAAAAUUUAGCUAAAUAUAAAACAAAUUCUACAACAUGUAAAAUUGUGAGGUAACGUGUAGUAAAAAUAUGUUUGGUGAAAUCUAGUUAAAAGAACUUUUCUGGUUUUAUCGCAUUAUUUACAACUAAAACGAUAGUAUAUUAACUAAACUAUUAACUUAACAGUACCAAGAAACAAGACUACAAGUCUAUCACGAAAAACCUCAAUAACUCUACUGUAGUUUACUAAUGCGAAUUAUAUAUAUAUAUCAUUGUAAUAUGUGACUAAGGUAAGCCAACACAUUACAAUUAUAUAUAGAUAAUGUUGUUAGUUAAUCUGUCCGUGCAUGUAUAUAAUGUAAUCAUCGGUCGACUUUCAAGUUUGUUAUGAUGUUGAUUUAUUUUAUUCAAGCUCAGAAAGUGUUGGUGAAAAUUAGCUAACUUAUAAGAUGUACUUUUUCUCUUUGUUUAUCUCUUUGGAUAACCGAAUCGUCUGUGUUGCGUUUUACGACUAGUUAAAAUUGCUUGAAUAACAUAGAUAAUGGUAAGUACGUAAGUGACAUUUGGUUUAAUUAACUAAUCUAGUGGCAUAUCCAUACAUAAUCGAAUCAUUUAUGCGCUGAACAUCAUUACGUGUACGUCAAAAUAUAUAGUUUGGAAUCAUUUCGCGUUGGAGAUCAACAGGGGAAAAUUAGCAAAUCAGUAUGUUGAUUACUAUUUACUAAUUAACGACUGUUAAAACCUAAUUGUUGCAGCAUGAAUUUUAUAGUAAUAGUACUCAUUGUCAAUUAGUUUUUGAUUACAGAAUAUUGUCAAGUGUCCGCCGCUGAUUAAGAGACGAGGCGACUUCAAAUUUAAUCAUAUGAAAACCUUGACAAUUUCCUAUUUUAUAGUACUGUCUAUAAUUUAUAGUUUUAAUCAUGUUUUUAUAUCUUCUAACUUGAAUAGAUAUCCGCAUUUGUACACCCAUAUGUGUCUUAGGGAAAUUUUAUUUACAAAUAUGUGAAGAUGUAAGUAUCUUAACUGUUUAUCAAAAAUGUAUGUAUGAAUAUAUGUAUAUAGUGCAUGGUUUUUGAAAUUCCAAUAUAGACAACAAGUAUCGUUUAACAAUUUACCUUACAAAACCAUAAACUGCUUCAAAAUUUUGAUUAUACAGUGGCAUGGAGACGUCUCCAUCCUAUUAAGUUUCAAAAUGCAUUCUAAUUAGCACCUCAAUUUAUGUUAUUGAAUGAAAAUUUAAAGACUUAUAAUUAUCUCUUUUUUUCUUUGGACAUUGACAUAAAAUUAUCUUGUCCUAUCACUUUUAUAUAAUAGUAAUUAUUGUAUAUGGACUUCAUAGUCAUUUUAAAUAAAAACUAAUUAAAGCUAAUCAUUGCUUUGUAAAAGUAUAGCAGACACUAUUUGAUAUGAAUAAGAUAGUUUUAACUUUUUUAAUUGAAACCCUCACUAACGAGAGGAGAAUUAAUAUUACGUUACAUACAUGUGGUGCUUACUUAGUUUUAUUUUAUUUUAAUGAUUCCUUUGUCUUUUAGGGUUUUGGUUGUAGUAUUCGUUCUUGAAGCAAUAAUAUUAUUAUAUUCAUGUUUCUGUUAUAAAAGUAUUUUUUUCUGUGCAAAAAAUAAAUCAAUGUAAUCCCAGCAGCCACACUUUAUUUUGCUGUCAAAAAAAAAAAUCUUUUUUUUUUGAGAAAAAAAGAAUAACUAUAAACUUCAAUUAAAUUUUAUCAUAUUGAUACGUUAACACAUCAUUAAACGAUUCAAUAUCUAAGGCAACUACCACCGAGUAUAUAUUCCUCACACUUAUUCGAUUUUGGCAUCAAACUUGAAUUCCAUAAAACUUGUCACAAUAUAAUUACGACAAACAAAAAUUUCCGAGUACGGAUUAACCAAUUUUGAAGAUUUUUGCAACUGGUACUUUUACAUACAUCUACAUAAAACUCAAGUAAUUUAAACCCAUUGUUAUUUUUAUUUUUCUUGAAAAAAGAAACCCAUUGUUAUUGCAAAGAUAGUUUUUAGAUACACACUACCAAAUUCCAAAACUACUUUUGAUUUAGUACGUCCCACUAGAGUUCUGUCGUGGCACGCCUUUGAUUAAUGACUAGGGUCCUAGAAUUAUUUUAAGUGUUAAUUGGUCGCAGAAACUACAGGGUAGUAAUUCUCUAUAAUUUCUUUUUUGCUUAAAGUAAUUUUCUAUAAAGUUAAGAAAUCAAACAAAAAAAAAAGUUAAGAAAGUACAGUAGAUAAAAAACAAUAACGUAAUUUGUUCAAAACACCAACAUAGGCCGGAUGCGGUCAAAUUUUUAUCUAAAAUUGCACCAUCAAAUAAAUAUUAUCUAAAAUCAUUAAUUGGAUCUAGCUAUAUGAGCUCUAACUAAUUGACCAGGCGAUAGAAUUUUUGUUUAAAAAGUUUGCAGCAUAUGAUAUAAAAUAUGAUUUCUACAAGGAGAAAUUUAUAAUAACUGAUGGGCAGUUCAAAAUCUGAGAGUUUCAAAAAUACAAGUUUAAAAUAGUAGUAAACGACUCAAGAAGCGGGAUAAAAAAAAUUAAGUACAAUUUUUCUGCAUCUUCUUUGGGUAACAUAAAUCAUUAUACUACCCUUUUCACGACAUAAAAUUAUUGUUUCUUUGCACGAUUUAAUAUUUAUAGCCUACAUCUUUUCUUGUCUUGUAUAUACAGAAACCUAUGUGUGUGUGUGUUACAGCAGCAUUUUAAAAUUUGUUAUAAUUUUUUUUUGUUAGUAGUAGAAUUUCAUACUGAAACCUAUAUUAGUUUAUGAGACAUGUGAAAAUUCAAAACUUUUACCAUUUAAGACGUCUACAUGUGACCAACUAUACUUAAAUCACUUUGAGAAAAUUCAAAUCCCGAUUGCCAACUAAUAAAAUAAUUUGAUUUAGCUCAAAUUUCCAGCUGCAAUAAAUAUACAGGGAGAUGUAAUUCUCAUGUGAUAAUCUUUUCAUUUCUUCACAUAUGUGGUGGUAGUUCGUGUAGUUAACAUGGGAUGUGCCAAAAUAAUUAUUUUGUUUGAGUUAUUUCUUAUUACCAUCCUAGCCCUAAAUAAUGCAUCAUAAAGGCAUGAGUAAAAAAUAUUAAAUUCUUUUGUUUAUGUUAUUAGUUUUUUUUUUCUUGAACACAGUGUUUAUGUUAUUAGUUAAUUUACAAUAUUUACCCUAAAUAUUAGCAUUCCAAUCACGACCAAGAGAAAAGCUGCAAUGCCACUCAAUUUAAUUCACAUGCUAUCAUUCUCAUAAUUGAGAUUUCACAUGCACUUCUAUACUUAUAUGUCGUUAUGUACACAUAUAUGGAUGUUUGGAGUUGAAUAAAUAGUAUGUACAGUAGUUUCAUCGGUCCAAAAAUAAAAUGAAUUUGAUAUGUGGAUAAUGUAAUAGAUACUUGUUUACGACGGAUUAGACGACGCUGUAAAUUGUUAUUUUUUAAUUAUACUAGGGGCGGAGUCCCCGCGCAAGCGCGGGGUUGUUGAUAAUUAGAUGUGUUAUAAUACUUUUAAAAUGUUGUAGGAAAUGUUGUGGAGGAUAUCGUCAAUGCAGGAUUGAUGGUUUGUAAUUCCAAUGGUGAUGCUAUCUUUUGGGGCAGUUCGUAUUUGGUGAUAGUAUCUUCUGCAUUAGAGGCUGGAGCACUUGCACGAAUUUCUGUAGCACAACUAUUAUAUUUUAGAGGUUUUGCUUGGAUAGUAUUUAACGUGAUCGUCUUAGCUUGGUAAAAUUGAUAAAUGAUCAUAACUUCUUUUACAAUAUAGUUGUUGUGGUCCAGAAUAUGAAGUGGUGGGCCAUAUAAAAUUGCUUUGCUUGUUUUACAAAAUCGUCAAGUAGAAAAAAUCAUAUAUCAGAUGCAUUGGCAAAAGGACCACCAAAAUAUAUUUUUUUGGUUUAGGAUAACACAAUUUUAUGCAAUAUUUAGUUGGGCCAUAUAGGUUUAACGUUGAAAUAAAUAAAAUCUAAGUCCAUUAUUUUUUUCAGAAAUUGGGCCAUGUUUUGUGUUGAAAUAGAAAAGCUUUGUUCUCUUCGAGCUUGAGACGACCGUCUGAGAAGGCCCCUUCCUGUUGCAAAAUUUGAUUUGCCUGGUUAGGAAUUUUGAAUUGAGGUAAGGAAUUAUUCGGGAAUCUCAUGGUAUUCUUCUAAACCUGCAAUAAGGAAAGUCAACUGGGAGCUAAAUGUUUGAGACAAUGCUUAUUGUAUAUAGUUUUGUUGAACAGAGAAGUGAAGGUCGUGUGACAUAUCUGUUGUUUGUGGCAAGCCAUUGAAAACUUCACUGUAGACGAUAUUAGCGAUGGUGUUUGCCAAGCUACCAUAUCUUUAGUCCUUUUGGUGUUGUAAUGUCUAAAAUAUUUAGUCCUUUUGGUGUGGUCACUCUUGAGAGUGCCACAUAUAAUUGACCAUGGCUAAAAACAGGCUUUGGCAAGUACAGAGCAACCUUAGCCAAUGUUUGGCUUUACUUUUGUUUAAACAGGUUUUUACCUUUCUUUUUAAUUGCAAAGAGAAGCUUUAAAAUCCAAGGCUUUGUUUGCUGCCAAAGAAACAAUAAUCAAUUACAAACAAAAAGUCUAAUCUCAGAUGACACAAAUGACAGAUUCAUAGCUUUUGCUUCAAACUGAAACCAAAAGGAAAAACAACAGAGUAAAAGCUGUUUGUAUUGCAGAGACAGAAAAAGACAAACAAAUGACCGUAACACAAAGGUUAACAUUUCUACUUAACCUCAACUCUUAUAUAUGUCAUCUGUUAAACCAAAUCACGAGCUUCUUAUAUCUCAUCUUUUAAACCAAAUCAUGAGCUUCUUAUAUCUCUCCUCUCAAUGGGUUACAUCUCUCAACGAUUGUAUCAUCUUGUUGGCUACCACCACCUGCUGAAUCCAAGCUCAAAUUUCUUUGUGUCUUUCUCUGUGAUCACAAUCGUCAUCAAUAUAGCAGGCUCUUUCCUGCUGACAGUCAACAAAUCAAAAAUGCUUUAGAGAAUUCGCUUAAAGAGAGACUAUAACCUAGAGUUUUUUUAAAAGAGAAAAAUAACCAACACUUGCGUACAACUAAAUCUUGGAUAUGUUGUUCGAACAGAAAUGUGACUCUUUUAAAGCAAAACACAACACCUUUCAUCAAUGAUGAUGGCUUCUUUAAUGCAACUUAAGGGGAGGUUUUCAGUACCCAUUGCUUUAGAAAAACACUGUUUCUCCUUGAUCAAUCGAGCCAUUGCUCAAAAAGGAUAUUCUCUCUUCCUACAAUAAAACCAUUUACAGCACCUAAGUGAAUUAAUAUGUACAAAAUAAAUGCUACUUGAUUCCAAUUCAGUUUUAUGAGUUUCGUGUUAACACACCUUGAAUCAAGGUCCUUGAUCAAUGCUGGUUCCGGCACAGCUAGUUUCUGCUCUUGGCUUUUUACCUUCAUUUGUUUCCCUAAAGAAAACCUAAACGGAGUUUGAUCAAACUAUGCAUGGUAUCACCAUCUGUUAACAAUAAGAAAAUAAUAUUUAGAAGAAAUUCGCAACCUUACACAAAGGCAAAUAUGCGUAACCAACCCAAAAAUUGAAACAAACCUGUGCGUAAAGAGUAAUCAUCACCUUAUGGGUCAAGAUUCCAAUACAGCCACAUCAGUCUCUUUGAGACUAUAGGAGGUCCUGUAAUACUAAAACAUUCCCUCAAAUUUCAAGCUACAUAUCUUACUUUAUGCAGCAUGGCAAACAGAUACAGUUAGACGAUUUAAAUCAUUGGGGCUAUUCGAAAACAAAAUUAAGAUAAAAAAUAAAAUAAGAUGCUUCGUGUUACAAUACCUUCUCAUCAAGGAUAAGUAGAGUGAUUCUAUGAAUUCACCAUGUUCUUCAUACUUUCCGAGUCCCAAAAACGGAGAAGCCGAGCGAUAACGAACUGCGACGAUCGACCGAGGCGAAGAGCGUCGAAGGCAUUGCGCAACAGCAGCAUCUGAAGACAGUUACGAAGAUUCUUUGUACGCUUGAUAAAGGAGAUUAACUGGGAGCGUUUAGGAAGGUGGGGGAGAGGAAGAGAAUCGACAAAGGGUCUGAGACGGCGCUUAGGGUUAGGGAGGAUGAGUGAUUUUCAGAGACACGGGAUCGAUAAAGGGAUAUAACCUGAACCGUCUCUUAUCAUAUUAACAUAUUGGGCUAUGUAAUGGUUUAAAUGGGCUGGGCAGCUAACUUAAUUUUUUUUUCAAGACGAGUCCUUGAUGAUAUGGCAAUUUAAUUGGCUAGGAAUAUUUGUGACCAUAUGGCAGUGUUUAGAGAACUCCAAUUUAGUCUCUUUUAUAUAGUAGGAUAGCACGAUCGAGAAGUGUGAUUUGUGAAGCGAGUCGACGAACCGAGUCACAACACGCGACCUCGCAUCACAUUUCUUUUAUAUCACAAAUCAAAGUCUUUGUUGUUAGUUUGUUAUCUAUUGUAGUUUAGUUUAACUGAACUUGGUAUCAUAACUCUGUUUCAUCUUCAAAAACAGUUGUCUUCCUAUUGAUGUUGAAGGAUUCUUGUGUCAGCCAUUUUAGGACAUUUGACUUUACUUGCUUAUAACCAUCCUUUUCUAUACAUGGUGUGGCAGUAAGUUUUUUUUUCUGUAUAUGUGUAAGUGUAACACGUAACAGUAUUUUCUGUAACUUCCAUUUGUAUGACUUUGAAAAAGUUAGGAACGCUCUAGCGCCAUACUGUAAUAUGCUCAUGAUCAGAAAACUUGUGGUCCUCUUCCCAUAAAUUCCGCGGACCAACAAGUUCAAUCUGUUUGUCGUGUAAUCAUAUUUUACGUACUUUAUAGUUUUCUUUUCAUUCUGUAAAAUUUACUUAAUUUUAACAUUGUCCAAAAUGUCGAUAGAAAAUGAAAUAUAAUAUCGAAUAUUGGUGUAGAUGUCAUUGUGAUUAACAUAGCUUAACACGCAUCCAAUAGUAGCAUUUAUUUAAAGAAUGUCUUACCAAUAUUUACUAUUAUCUAUUAGAAUUAGUUUGGCUUAUUUCAAUCAAGAGGUUGGAGAUUAGUUAUAAAGACAGUGGAAAUUUCCUGAUCAUUUAAAAAAAAUUAUACAUCUAACAAAACCAAUAAUUGCCAGCUAAUAGCGAAAUUAAAAUAACAAAACUAUAUGGAGAAAAGAGACGUAAGAUAUUGAAUCGGUCCCCUAACAAAGCCCACCUAAUGACUAAUUUUUCACUAUAAAACAAUCUUCUCCAUGCAGAAACACAAUCAAUCACUUCUUCUUCUUCAUAUUCUUCAAACGUUAAACAGUUCUCCAACAUUUUCUUUCAUUAAUAAUUUGGAGAACAAAGCCUUAGCAUCCGGUGAAAUUUAUCCGGUGAAACAAUGGCGACUCCGGCAUGGAGUCAGGCCAGAGGUCAAUGGGUAGUUGCCAUGUUGGCAUUACUCGUUGGCUCGGCAAUAGCUACCGAACCUUACUAUUAUAGUUCUCCUCCACCACCCUAUGAAUAUAAAUCUCCACCGCCUCCGGUUAAAUCUCCUCCACCUCCUUAUGAAUACAAAUCUCCUCCCCCUCCGGUUAAGUCUCCUCCACCACCGUAUUACUAUCAUUCACCGCCGCCGCCGGUGAAAUCCCCUCCCCCUCCUUAUGUAUACCACUCUCCUCCUCCUCCAGUGAAGUCUCCUCCACCACCUUAUUAUUACCACUCUCCACCACCACCCGUGAAAUCUCCUCCCCCUCCUUAUGUAUAUCACUCUCCUCCACCUCCGAUUAAGUCUCCACCACCACCGUACUACUAUCACUCACCACCACCACCGGUGAAAUCGCCUCCUCCUCCUUACUAUUAUCAUUCUCCACCACCACCGGUUAAAUCUCCACCACCACCAUAUUACUACCAUUCUCCACCACCACCGGUUAAAUCUCCACCACCUCCAUACUACUACCACUCUCCACCUCCUCCGGUCAAGUCUCCACCGCCACCAUACUACUACCACUCUCCACCUCCUCCGGUCAAGUCUCCACCACCACCGUACUACUAUCACUCUCCGCCUCCUCCGGUCAAGUCUCCUCCACCACCGUACUACUAUCACUCUCCACCUCCUCCGGUCAAGUCUCCUCCACCACCAUACUACUACCACUCUCCCCCUCCUCCGGUGAAGUCUCCACCACCACCGUAUUACUACCACUCUCCUCCUCCUCCGGUUAAAUCUCCACCACCACCAUACUACUAUCACUCUCCACCACCACCGGUCAAAUCCCCACCACCACCAUAUUAUUACCAUUCUCCACCACCACCGGUAAAGUCACCACCUCCACCAUAUUAUUACCAUUCUCCUCCUCCUCCGGUAAAAUCACCACCUCCACCAUAUUAUUAUCACUCUCCUCCUCCUCCAGUGAAAUCACCACCUCCACCUUACUAUUACUCAUCCCCACCACCACCAAAAUCUUACCCUCCACCAUACCACUACUCAUCUCCUCCACCACCACCAAAGUCGUACUCGCCACCAUACUACUACUCAUCACCACCACCUCCUGUGUCGUACCCUCAUCCUCACCCACACCCACACCCACAUCCACUUGUCUUCAAAGUUGUAGGUAAAGUGUAUUGUUACAGAUGUUAUGACUGGACUUACCCCAAAAAGUCCCACGAUAAGAAGCAUCUCAAAGGUACUUAAGUUUUCCACGUGUUCAAUAAUUAAUGUCUUAAUCUUAACAGGUUUAUUAAUUAUUUAGACAGAAUUGUUAUCUUGAUGAUUAUAGGAUGAUUACAGGCUUAAAGGAUUUAAAAAACUAGCAUAUAUGUAUUGUAAAGUGGUAGUUGCAUACUUGCAUUGCAUGUAGUCUAUAUUAUUUAUUAGUGGAGAAACGCAAACGAUAAAGUCAAGAAAAAGACAAGAAUCUGUUAUUGACUUAUACAAUCCAAUGAGAUCGAACAAGCAAAAUCAAUUUAGUAGAUACCCAACUAAAAGGACAUAAACUGAUAUUUAAAAUUUAAAUAAUUUGAUUUUUUUUUGUCAUAUAGGUGCUGUUGUAGAAGUGACUUGUAAGGCCGGUGACAAGAUAGUGAAGGCAUACGGAAAGACCAAAAUCAACGGUAAAUAUGCAAUCACCGUUAAGGGAUACAACUACCGUAAAUACGGUGGCGAAGUUUGCACGGCCAAGCUUCACGCGCCGCCUAAAGGCUCACCGUGUAACAUUCCUACAAGCUACCAUAUGGGUAACAAAGGUGCAAAGCUUCAUGUGAAAUCAAAGACAAAGUACGAGGUUGUGCUCUAUGCCAAGUCCUUUGCUUAUGCACCUAAGAAACCUUACGGAGAAUGCCACAAACCAGCUCCUUACCAUCCUCCUUACUACUACAAAUCGCCACCACCACCAUCUCCGGUUUACUACUACAAGUCACCACCACCACCGGCUCCAACCUAUGUCUACAAAUCUCCACCACCACCAACUCCGACUUACGUCUACAAGUCGCCGCCUCCUCCAACCCCAACAUAUGUCUACAAAUCGCCUCCUCCUCCUACCCCAACAUACGUAUACAAGUCUCCUCCACCACCAACUCCAACUUACGUAUACAAAUCACCACCACCGCCGACUCCAACUUACGUCUACAAGUCGCCUCCUCCACCUACGCCAACCUAUGUCUAUAAAUCUCCACCGCCACCAACCCCGACUUAUGUUUACAAGUCACCACCACCUCCGACUCCGACAUACAUUUACAAGUCUCCACCACCUCCUACUCCGACUUAUGUCUACAAGUCACCACCUCCACCAACCCCUACAUAUGUCUAUAAGUCACCACCUCCACCCACUCCGACCUACGUCUACAAGUCACCACCACCUCCAACUCACACUCCUACACCAUACUACUACCAUUCUCCACCACCACCAGUAAAAUCCCCUCCACCUCCUUAUUACUACCACUCACCACCACCACCGGUUAAAUCUCCACCACCACCAUACUACUAUCAUUCACCACCUCCUCUGGUGAAGUCUCCUCCACCACCAUACUAUUACCAUUCACCACCACCUCCAGUAAAAUCUCCUCCCCCCCCAUACUACUAUCACUCCCCACCUCCUCCAGUGAAGUCUCCUCCGCCACCUUACUAUUAUCACUCCCCACCUCCUCCAGUAAAAUCACCACCACCACCAUAUUAUUACCACUCUCCACCUCCUCCCGUGAAAUCCCCCCCACCUCCAUACUACUACCACUCACCACCCCCUCCGGUAAAAUCACCCCCACCACCAUAUUACUAUCACUCCCCACCUCCACCAGUGAAAUCCCCACCACCACCGUACUACUACCAUUCUCCACCCCCACCGGUAAAAUCUCCGCCACCACCAUACUAUUACCACUCCCCACCUCCUCCGGUGAAAUCUCUACCACCACCGUACUAUUACCAUUCACCACCUCCUCCGGUGAAAUCUCCUCCUCCACCAUACUACUAUCACUCACCUCCUCCACCAGUAAAAUCUCCUCCGCCACCGUACUAUUACCACUCUCCACCUCCUCCAGUGAAGUCGCCUCCACCUCCUUAUUACUACCACUCACCUCCUCCUCCGGUGAAAUCCCCACCACCACCAUAUUAUUACCACUCACCACCCCCACCCGUCAAAUCUCCUCCACCUCCAUAUUAUUACCACUCACCACCUCCUCCGGUGAAAUCUCCACCACCACCAUAUUAUUACCACUCACCUCCUCCUCCGGUGAAAUCUCCACCACCACCAUAUUACUACCAUUCACCUCCCCCUCCAGUCAAAUCUCCACCACCACCAUAUUACUACCAUUCACCUCCCCCUCCAGUGAAAUCCCCACCACCACCAUAUUACUACCAUUCACCACCUCCUCCAGUGAAAUCUCCACCACCACCAUACUACUACAACUCUCCACCACCACCAGUAAAAUCUCCCCCACCUCCCGUCUACAUCUACGCUUCUCCCCCACCUCCUACCCAUUACUAGGCUCGUCAAAUUCAACCAAGUUUCCCCAUUAUUCAAGUAAGUCCCAAGGCUCCAAUAUUCUAAGUAUGCUCCAUAUC
rnacentral:lncRNA from 1 species